rnacentral:lncRNA from 1 species
UUUCUAAAGUGUUCAACUAAAUAAGUAUAGAGGGAAUAUAUUUAAGGAUAUUAAUUUUCUAAUAUUUUUUUUAAUGUUGCACUUAAUUCUCAUGGCUUUAUAUAUAAGGAUAAGGAUAUCAACUUUUUUCUUUUAAUGUUGCACUUAAUUCUCAUGUCCCAUGUGAUGUUCACUGAGUCAAAACAAAUAACUUUGAAAUUUGAUCCAAAUACAGAUAUUUUAUCUCAAAUAUUGCCACAUAACACAUCUAGAUUCUUCCAUCAAACCAAUUUAUGUCUAUAAAUAGGAGAACUCCCAAGUGAAAAAAGUGGAAAGUUAUUUUGGUUGAGAAGAACCAAAACAACUUUUCCAGCAAAGAAAAAGUUAGCCCAGAAAAUCUAAAAAAAAAGAGGCAAAACAGAGAGUUCUAGGAAUUUUUCUUUAACAAGGGUGGUUGCCCCUCUCUUGUUUAGCCAAUGAUUUUUAUUUUUUAUUUUUCAGAAGCAACAACCCUUGGAUUCAUGUUAAUUUCUUGGAAAUGACUGGAUCAUUCAAAUGACAAUCAUACAUAUAUUCCACAACCUUUGGCAAUAAUCUUUUUUUUUGUGUCUCUAUUAAUCUAUCUACGGUAUGUAUGUGUGUUGUAUUAGAGGCGAUGAUGAUAAUGAUGAUGAUUUUUUCGAAUUCUGGGGUAACUGGAUUGGGGAUGGAGACUAUGUGAUUCAUAUCUUGGCUUGGCAAAUCAUCUUGAUUUUGCAGCCAUGGCGUGGUUGCCCUCUCUUUCGUCCUCAUCUCUUUGCAGAUCUGAGCCUCUAAAUUGUUAUCAACAACAUUUGAAAUAAUAUUUCAAAAACUGCUUUUCAUUUUUUUGAAAAUAUAAUAUAUUAUGUUCUUCUAUUAUCUAUCUAUCUGAUUUUUUAUUUAUUUAUUACCUUAAAAUCAUGAUGAACUUGAUGUAGAAAUUUCUAUAUUUUAGGUUUGUGAUUUUUCGAUGAAAUUUGUAAGUUUUUUUUUAAUAGUUGUGAUUUUUUCCACUGGUAUAAGAAAGAGUUGUGACUUUUUAGGGGUAUGAUUUCUCGGAAUGGUCAAGAAAAUGCUUGUUUAUGCAACUCUUUGUUGACUAUAGGCCUAAUUCAUCGGUGAUUCUUAAAAUUGAUUUUAAUUUUCAGUUAUAUACUCUAAUUAGAUUUUGUUGAUUUAUAUAUUUUAGGUAGGUUUUCACGAUAUUAUUUUGAUACUUUUUGCUUACAAGCAUAAUGAGUAUUAUACACGCUCACUGUUAAAAGUCUUAUUCACAAUUUUUUUUAAAAAAAUAUCUCUUUUUCUACAUUUUUUAGCUACAAUAUCCAAAACAUAUAUAAAAGUAUAUGAUAAAAUAAAUUUAGUAAUGUCACAAAUAAAAAGUAAAUUUUAGCUCAUAAAAUUUUUCAAAAGUUUAAAUUUUAACAUUAUGAAAUAAAAAUCUAAUUAUUUUUCCUAAAUCAUAAGAUUUGAAAAAAAAUUGCACUAUUAAUCAAUAACUUAAAAGUAAAGAAGAAAAUGUCAUACUUUUGUAAGAUAAUUUUUUCAAACUAAUUAAGUUCUUUUGGAAAUAUCUUUUGAAAAUUUGAUACGUAUAGAAACAAGACAGAAGUUGGAGUUGGUGGGGGCGGAGAGGAGGACUUGGUGACUGGUGGGGUGGAGGAAUGGUUGCGGUUGGGGUAGAGAGGAAGAUCUGAUGGCUAGUAGGAUGGAAGAGUUGUAGGGGUUGGGGUUGGGGUGGAGAAGGAGAAGGAAAUGGGUCGGGUGGGAUGAAAAAGACGACGAGGUUGGACUGGGGUAAUUAUUUUAUUCUUAUUGUUUGAGUUUAAAAUGACAUAUGUCAUAAAAUAUGAUUGUAUAAUAUUUAAUUAAAUAUUUUAUGAUAUAUUUAAAUUUAUCUCAAUGAUGACCUUGUAAUUCGAUGUUGAUGAUAAAAACUAAUAUAAUAUGAUAUGAUUAAAUAUAUAUUAACUACUUAAGUCUUUAAAAAAGGGUAAAAAUAUCUUGCAACUUUCCCUUGACAUUUUCAUUUUUUAUUAUACUAUCCCACUUGGAACAUUUACUAGAUGAGAUGCUUGUUUAAUAUUCAAUUUAUUAGACGUUUUAUAAUUUUUUAUUGAGUGGAGUGGCAUUGCAUAUACAUUGUUUUAUCAAUUAGGAAUUUUCAUAUUCUUCUAUUACAAGAAUUAUGAUUAUAAUUAAGUCAAAAACAAAAUAUUGUGUUUGAAUACUUAUAUUUUGAGUUGAAACUUAUGCUCUUAAAUUUGUUCGUAAUUAUCUCGAAUUCUUGGCUAACAUGGUGAUUUAAUAUAAGUUUUUCUUUACAUAUUAUUAUAGUCGUUUACUUUUAUGAACAAUUUUUUAUUCUCGCUCAACUUGCAUUUUUCUAACGGAAUCAUGGAUAAAUCACCAUUCAGCUUCUUAUAAAUAAUGUUAGGAUGGCCGAUUCAUUCUCAGAAUUUUUUUAAAAAAUGAUAGAACAGAGUCUCAACUCGUAAGUUCUUCAAUUAUACUAUUACAACCCUAGUAGCCAAGAGUUGAUAUUUCAUUCUAACUUAAGAUCCUUAUGUUUUUUAGUGCAAGAAAAUCAUGAAAUUGAGGGUUUUUAUGUCGACUCUUUGAUCUUACAAAAGUAAGGUUAUUUUCUUUCAAACGAUUUUAGUAAGUAUCAUUGGCACAAAUCCAUUUUAUUAAGUAAUUUAUUAAUAUUUUUUGUCAUCCUUAAAAUCUCAUUCUAGCCUAAGAUUCUUGUGGUUCUUGAGUGCAUGAGAAACAAGAACAGAAGGUUUUUGUCGAUUCGUUGAUCUGAAAAUUAGACAGUGAUUUCCAUUUCUAAUGAUUUUAGUAAGUACUAGUCUUGGACACGUGCAACACACGUGUAUCCUAUACUAAUUUAUAUAAAAUCAUUAGAACUAAUGAUAAAUGUAUUUUCUAAUAGAACAAAGUUUUACAAUUUAUAGAAAUUUCAUUUUGAUCUAUGAAAGAAUCCUUCCAUUGAAAACAUUUUUCUAACCUGAAGUUUUAGUUAGAGACUGAUUGGUUAAAGGCUAAAGGUGACAAGAAAAUUAAAAAUAAAAUAUGUUAUCAAUUCACGUUAACAUCCAGCGAAAUACAUGCAACAAGUAAUAAAAGUAGAAAAAUAUAAAAAUAACAACAAUGACCUACAUACUUGAUAACAAUCCAUAUGUUCUUUAUAGAAAAAAGAAGAUACAAAUAAGAAAUUAGAAAUAAUUGAGUUAGUAAAAAUUCUUGUUGGUAUAACAAUUUCUUCUUCUAUUAUUCAAAUCAGUUAACCUUAAAAAUAAAUUACUACACAUUGAGUUUUAGAUUGAAAACCAUCAUACAUUCAUAUAUAAAUUAUUUAAUAAAAAUAAUCAAACAUUGUGAAAAUAACAAGGAAUGUGGAAGGUUGUUAAAAACAAUUAUUAGGUUAGAAGAAGAAAAAUUAAAAUUAAUAUUAAUAAUUAGGUAAUUCAUAUGGUUAUAAAUGAAGUUUUUAGAGGCAAAACAUAUGUAUAAGUUACAUUAAAUAUGCUUAUAAUGGGUGAAAAAACAAAAUUGACUCAUUAAAGAAGAAAUUGUGCAACUUUUCAUUCGUGUAAGAAGUUACUUACAAAAGUACGUAAUGGACGGAUAAAUUAGUUUCACAGAUUUAGGGAGAAUUGAAUGUAGAGGGUUAAAAUAUGAUUGUUGAGAUUUCUGUUUACUCACUAUUUGUUAUUUAAUUUGAUUAUGAUUUAAUGAAGGACCACAAAUUUUGUAAUAUGAUCGUCUAAUAUUUAAUUAAAUAUUUUAUGAUAUUUUGAUUUAUCAUUGUUUAUCGCAAUGGUGAACUUGCAAUCCGACGUUAAUGUUAAAAGUUAAUACAGUAUGAUAUGAUUAAAUAAAGUCUUUAAAAAGGGGUAAAAAUGUUAAGUCAAGAACAAAAUAUCAUGUUUGAAUACUUAUUUUUUGAGUUGAACCUUUUUAUGAUUUUUUACAAAAUGAAGUUAAAGUCGAUUAUUUUUUAUUUAUUUUUUAAAAAGAACUAACAAAAUACUAAGGAUUUUUGUAAGUUAAAUAUAAUUUAUGAAAACAAAGAAACGCAUGUAAUAGAUAAAUGUUUGAUAAAAUGAAAAUUGUAUUAAUUUUCUACCUCUAAAUGAUGAAUACAAACAGAUAUGACAGUUUCACUAAUUUAUUUAUUUUUUUUGAGAAAAAAAGUCAUAAAUCAGAACUAAAAAAUCAUAUUUUGAGCUGAUACUUGUCAUGUUUUUUUAUAAAAAUGAAAUUAAUCUACUAAAUCUUAAAAAAGAAAAGAAGGGCAUAUAAAAAAUGUAUUUAUAUAAAUAAGGAAAUCUUUUUAGCCAGUGAGUAGGGGUGUUCGUGGUUUAGCUUGAAUCGAUUAUCAAUUAAAAUCUAAAUAAAAUCAAUCUAAUCGGUUUUUAAAAUUUCUAAAACAAAUAAAACCAAACGAAAAACAUAACCGUCGUUUUGAUUACUGACGUUUUGAUUCACUUUUUCUAGUUUUUUAGUUUGAAAGUAAUAAUCUUUUAGGACAUAUGUAUCUUGAUAGACUCAAAUACCUAGUAUAUAAAUAAUCCACUGAAAAGUUAUUGUUGGUUCAAUUAAGCAAUUAAACAAUACUAAAGUUAUUAAUACACGAAUAAAGUGUUUCAAUUAAGAGAAGGUGUAACUAUCUUAUGAAAUAUAUGGUAGAUAAAGACUAAAGUAAUGAAUUUGAUGCAGUUGGACUUAUGAUUGUAAUAUAUGGGCUAAAAUUUAUGUGUUGAGCUUGAGCAAAUUGUAAGUUAAAGACUUAUAUUACUUAAAAUUUAACAAAAUAUUUAUAUUUUAUUUAUGAAUAAUAUAUUUAUAAAAUUUAUUGGUUAGAUUUGAUUAUUUUUGCAGUUAUUUUUAAGUAAAACUAAAACCAAAUCAAAUAAUAUCAAUUUUUCAAAAUGCAAAAUCAAAUCUAGUCACAUCAAAUCAAAUAUCAUUUUUUAAAUUGGUUUGAUUCAGAAUGUGAUUCGAUUUGAUUUUUUAACCAUAACCAUGAACAACUCUACCGGUGAAUAUUAACAUAUAUGACAAUUUCAUUUAUUUAUAUAUUUUCUAAAAAUGGCAUACAUCUCAAGUAAAUAUAAUGUUGAGUUUAGAUUUUAUACAAGUUCAAAAAAUGAAGUCAAAUUUCAUUUGUCUAUUUGUUUUCUUAAUAAAAUUAUAAAUUAAAAGUAAAAUAUUAUCUUUUUAUUUAAAUUCUGAGUUGAUCCUUUUUGUGUUUAAAAAUAAUGAAGCUAGAAUUACUUAAUUUUUAAAAAAAAAAUAUUAAUAAGUUAUAUUUUAUAUCAUGAUAAUAAACUUAUGUUCUUAAAUUUAAUCGUAAUUAUCCCUUUGGCUAACCUUUUGGUGUUUAAAUAUAAGUUUUUCUUUACAUAUUAUUAGAGUCGUAUAUUUUUAUGAAUCAUUUUUUAUUCUCUCUACAGCUCUCACUCAACUUGCAUUUUUUAUGGACAUCAUGGAUAAAUCACCAUACAGGUUCUUAUAAAUAAUGUUAGGAUGGAUCGGUUCAUCCUCAUAAUUCAAAACAAAACGAUAGAACAAAGUCAUUUGAUUUUCAUGACACAUCUACUCGAUUCAUAAGUUCUCCGUUUAUUUCUAUCACAACCCUAGUAGCCAAGAGUUGAUAUCUUCUUCUAACUUAGGAUUCUUAUGAUUUUUGAGUUUAGAAGAAUCAUAAAUUGAGACUUUUUGUCGACUCUUUGAUCUUAGAAAGGGAAGGUUAUUUUCUUUCCAACGAUUUUAGUAAGUAUUAUUGGUACAAAUUCAUUUUAUUAAUUAAUUUAUUGAUAUUUUUAGUCAUAGUUAAAAUCUCAUUCUAACCAAAGAUUCUUGUGGUUCUUGAGUGCAUGAGAAACAAGAACGAUAGGUUCAUGUCGAUUCGUUGAUCUGAAAAAUGGACGGUGAUUUUCUUUUCUGAUAAUUUUAGUAAGUACUAGUCUUGGACACGUGCAACGCACGUAUACCAUACUAAUUUAUAUUGAAUCAUUAGAAUUAAUGAUCAGUGUAUAUUCUGAUAGAACAAAGAUUUAUAUAUAAUUAAUAGAAAUUUCAUUUUGAUCUAUGAAAGUAUUCUUCCAAUGAAAACAUUUUUCUAGCCUAAAAUUUUAAUUAGAAAACUGAUUGUUUAAAGGCUAAAGGUGACAAUACAAUUAAAAAUAAAAUAUGCUAAGAAAUCACGUGAACAUCUAGCAAAUAAAUGCAACAAGGAACAAAUGUAGCAAAAUAUAAUGAUAAUAACAAUGACCUACAUACUUGAUAACAACUCAUAUAUUCGUUAUAGAAAAAAGAAGAUUAAAAUAAAAAAAUAGAAAUAAUUGAGUUAGUCAAAAUUCUUAUUGGUACAGCAAUUUCUUCUUCUGCUAUCCAAAUCACUCCACCUUAAAAAAGGAAUUACUACACGUUGAGUUUUGGAUUGAAACCCCAUCAUGUAUCCAUAUAUGUGAGUUCUUUUCAUAAGUUCACAUGAAUAGUAAGCAAUAAAUAUAUCAAAUCAAUUUAAUCGGACUAACUUUUUAGUUUUCCUAAAAACUGUUACACUUCCAAAAAAUUUGCAUGUGAAGAAGCAUUUACUAUAAAUAAUUUAAUGAAAAUAAAUGAAAUAUUGUUAAAAUAAUAAGGAGUGCGGAAGGUUGUGAAAAACAAUUAAUAAGUGAGAAGAUGAAAAAAUUAAAAUAAUUACUAGUAAUAAUUGAGGUGUUGUUAUAAAUGAAGUAUUUUAGAGGCAACCCAUAUGUGUAAGUUACAUUACGCAUGCUCAUAAUAGGUGAAAAAAUAAAAUUGACUCAUUAAAGACGAAAUUGCGCAACUUCUCAUUUAGGUAAGAAUUUUCUUACAAAAAGUACGUAAUGAGCAAAUACAUUAGUUACACACAUAAAGGGAGAAUUGAAUGUGGAGGAUUAAAAUAUGAUUGUUGUUGUAAAACUAAACCAAACUAACAAUAUAAUGAUAAAGAAAAAAAGAAUAUGAGACAAGAGAUUUAGAAGAUGAAAACAAUAGAAAUAGAGAGACAAGAGAUGAGAGCUUUUCUUAUUAAUCAAAGUAUUUAUCAAAUCUUUAAGUGUAUACAAUAUGAACCCUUAAGCCUCUAUUUAUAGUGUAACAUAAAGGCAUAUAAAAGGUUAGUCAUAAACAUGACAUUAACAUGAAUAUAAUGGGGAGCUUAUGAAAGUGAAAUGUUACAAGAAUAAUUAUUAUAAAGGUAAAAGUUAUGGAGGUUAUGAUUAUCUUCAUAAUGAGGAAAAAGUGUAGAUAAUGGUGAGUAACUUCUUGGUGUAGUGGACAUCCACACUAUAUUAUUUUAUAACACUCCCUUGGAUGUCCAUAGAUAAUAUGCUUCGUGAAAACCUUACUAGGAAAAAACCUUGUGGGAAAAAAGUCCUAGUGAAAGAAAAAGAGUACACAUAUCUUUUAAUACGCUUGAAUGUUGCCUCGUUAAAAACCUUACCAGGAAUAUUCAUUUGCGACAAAACCAUGAUUAAGUAAAAGAGUAAAAUGCGCAUGUUUCUCCCCUGAUAAAAACUUUACUUAAUAUCUCGGAGACGAUGCAUUCCGAUCUUAUAUCACAACUUCUCAAAUAUUGAUGUUGGUAAUCCUUAGUGAAUAAGUUUACAAUAUUAUCAGUUGAACGAGCCUUUGAACGUCUAUAUCACCGUUGUGCUGAAUCGUGUGUGAAAAAGAUUUUAGGUGAUAUAUGUCGUGUCUGAUCUCCUUUGGUUGUAUCCUCCAUUCAAUUGAACUAUAAUUAUUUUCGUAUAUGGUGGCUGGAAUAUCCUUUGUCAAAGGAAAAUCACAUAUUCUAUGAAUAUGAUAUAUUAUGAUUCCAAUCCAACACACCCCUGACUUACUUCAUUGAUCUAUAUGAUUUGAAAAAGUGGUUACAAAUGUUUGUUGAAUGCCAAGAUAUUGUUGUGCCUCCAUAUGUAAGCAAAUAGCUCAUUUGCGAUCUAGCUUUAUGUAGAUCAAAUAAAUAUUUUGCAUCUGCAUAAUCAAACCAUUUUUUACUCAUUGGAGAUUGAUCAAUUUCGUUGAAACUCGUCUUUUCUUCUCAAAGAAAGUCACACAUCUUUUACCAUUUGCAUAACCAAUAAUUUGUAAGUGCACUAAUAGCACUAAUACAUUACAUUUUAAAUCAUUUUCUUGAGAUUGAAAAGAUCCUUUCUUUGUGUUAUGCAAUCUUAAAAUCAUUGAAUACUCAAUGGAAUUGCUUUAAGACCUUUUAAAUCCUUCAAGGAUUUUCAUAUAACCUUCAUUGUCUAGUUAGACAUAAUAAUCAUUGAUUAUGCAUAUUCAAGUAUUUCAUAACUUUCCAGACUGAAAAAAGUCUCAUUGCAUUCAAUAUUGAAGAAUAUAUCUCCAUUUAAUAAUGUCAGGACUUCUGCAAAAAUUCUUUAUGCCCCGAGGAACGAACAAUAUUUUAUAUCUUAUGGUUAAUAAUGUCAGGACUUCUGCGAAAAUUCUCCACUGAUAUAUAUUUUGAUCUAUAAACCAUAUUUUCAAAAAGUAUCACUUUUCUAAGUGAUACAAAAUAUAUUUGAAUAGUGUCAACCAUUUAUCCGUCUAUACUAUAUGACAAAUUCGAAUUUAAGAUCCUCGUAACCAUUUAUAGAACUGAGUGCUACAUCCAAUCAAAUAUAGCGUCGAUGAUUGUUUUGAUUUCAAUUCUAAAACGACAUAACUUAUCGAGAUAUCUUACUUUUUCAUCAUUUUCAAGUACCUGAACCUUUGUUAAGGUUUUAUAAAAUGUUAUGUCAUAGUGCUCUUUCAAAGCACUUACCUCAUUAUCAAUGACCAUUUUGAUAAUUUACUCAUCUCCCUCCUCAAGAAGUUUUACAUUUGGAAUCGAUUGGUCUAUCACGCUUUUGGCGUACCAUAAACUCGGUCCUUCAAGGACUAUUUAUUGAAGCAUUUGCAGCUUAAUAUUGGUCAGCAAAUUCAUCUGGCAAAUUACUUGCAACAUUUUGCAUAUGAAUUGUCUCUUGAACUUCAAGUUCACAUUUUUUUAACGGGGAUCUAGAUAAUUCACCUCACACAUAAUUUUCAGCUGCUACACAUAUCUCCCCCUAAUGUUAGGAAAUCUAACAUUCAGCCCAAAACCUCAAUUGGGUACCUAUAUUUGUGCAUGGUGGAGCAAUAAAAUAAUAUGUGAACAUGUCAAAAUUUUAGAUGGAAAUUAUUGGUUCCUGAUCCUGAACCAAUUGUGUUGGGAAAACCUUGUUGGCUUGAUGCAUACAUGUUAAAUAAACAUAUCUCAUACCAAAUUUUAUUUGAGAGACUUGUUCUCAUAAUCAAUGGUCUAGCAAUAGUUGGAGGCAUACAAUUUCUGCUAAACCAAUCAGCAUUAUCAACAUGACUUUAAGUUUGAAAAUAUGCUCUUAAUUUGAUAAUUUGAGCAAACAACCUUACAAAAAUCAAUUUGUAAGUUGAUACAAAUGCACAUGUGACCAUACCAUAGAUACAUCUAUUAAAUCAUAAUUGUAAACGGUCCACAUGGCAGGUGAACAGACCCAUAUCCACCUUUUUAUAUGUUUCAAAUAAUUUUAGGGGAUACAGUCUCAAUCAAAGCUGGUACAAUGAUCAUUUUAUCACGAGAACAAGCUUCAAAGGAGAAAUCUUGAGGAAUAUUUUAUUUCUUCAACAUAUAGCCACGUGAGUUCUCAAUUUGUCUUGCAUCACAUUUGAAUCAGAAUGACCAACCUAUUAUGACAAAUGAUAUUUAUUCAAGUAAGCUUCUAGUUUACUUUUGCGUGUGAUUCCAUCACCAUGCUCGUAUUUGUAUACAACAAACAACGGGUAAAAAAUAAAUUAUCUUAUACUUACAUAUAUAUUACCCACUUUGAUUGUAGUAAUUGAAGAUUUGAAAUCCUCCCAUAAUUUAUAGUCUCAAUAUAAUAAUUUGUUUUUAAUUCUUCUUAAACUUAAAAAAGUUUCUUUUGAGACUUACUACAACAACAAUAUUAUGAAUAAUUUUAUCCCUCCAAAUAGUAACAAUUAGCCCUUUCGAAAUUAUCAAUUAAUUUUGUGUACUACCACAAUUUUCACAAUGUCAUUUUAUGGUGACCAUCUCCUUCAAGGAGAAAAUUUUUACUAUUGUCAUGAUUAAAAUUAUUACAUUCAAGACUUAUUUCUUGGUAAUCAAUAACAAAUUUGUGUUUCCACACAACAACAUUUAUUUUGAUCAUGUCCACAACCUUUACAUAAAAGAUUUAUUCUUUCUUUUGUCUCGUUUUAAAAUAUACCACAAUAUUUGUGUAGUAUUCAAAGUAUAUAUAUGACCAAAAUGACUAUUUAUGUCAAAAGAUUUUCUUUCAUCUCUCAAACCUUCCGUAGAGGUGAGAUGUGACAUUCAUCCAAUAAUACAUGAACAUGUUUUUAUCUAUACGAAAACAAGUCACAUUUUCUUAAAAAAAAAUGGACCAUAAUCAUUUGUACAUGUUCCAUAUGUUUUUAUUAGAAACUCAUUGUCAUGUUUUGACAUUAUGUAUCUAUAACAUUCCGGAAAAUUACAUGUCUAGUAAAGAGCCCAAUAGGUCUUUAAGAAUGCGUAUUGGGGAUACAUAGGCAUUCCAAUGCCCAAUAUUGAGAAAUAUUAGGCAUAUUAUAGAAAAUUAGCUAAGGGGUAUAAGCUAAUUUUUAUAUAAUAUUCAAAUAACUAAAAUAUUGGGCAUAUUAUAAAAUAUUGGUUUAAAGGGUGUUAGCCAUUUUUUCUAAGUAUUAAUGAGGUUGUUCAAGAAAUGUACCUGCAAUGAAGAUCCUAAGCUAAAAACAUAUAUUUUCCAACAUUUACACAUUAGGUGCAAGGCAUCCAUGUGUCAAGCCAAGGCACCAUAGCACAUGACCAAUUAAAUUGGGCAUGUAGAUUAAGCAAUGCCCAAGGACAUAGUAAGGAUCCAUGGGACAAUAAGUAAACAUUCCCAAUGAACCAUCAAGAAUAGUUAGUUAGGAAAGUACAAGCAACACAUGUAGAAAAAUGUCCAAGGGAGGGGACCAUCCUAACCGAAUUCGGUUAGGAUAGUUAGGGAGGGGACCAUCCUAAUCACUCUCAAACGCAAAACAGUAAACAAAUGAAAGAAAAAUAGAAAAGUUUCUCUCGAUUUAUCUUAGGAGAUUUUAAGGUUUUCUUCAAGGUUUCGUGAAGGUGAUCUUUGUAGAUUUAAUUCUGCAUAAGGUAUGAAUAUUAUCUCAUGGAAUUCUUUCUCCAUGUGACUUUUCAAACGUUUGAAUUCAUGAACUUUGAAACUAAGUUGUACCCAGAUUAUAUUGUUGAACGUUCAUCUCCCUAGUUAUCCUUAUUUUCGGUUCUUUAAGCAUAUAGAUGUAAUCUUGGACAUAUUGUUGGUAUGUGGUGCUAACUGAUUUUAUAAGUUCUUGAUUUGUUAAUGACUAAUGAAGUUUAUAGAUUGGAAUCAAAUGAUUUGAGUGUUAAUUAUACGAAUUAAGGAAUGAUAUAAUGCUUACUUGUGUUUCAAGAAUAUGAAGUUACUAUGAAUCGGCUAUGGAAUUUAGUUACUGUUAAAAUGUUCAGUUUUGACUGAUUCAUGUUGGGGAAUCACUAUAUUACAUUCAUGAAAUUAUUUGAUGUGGUUAGUGAUAACAUAAUGAAUGUUGUUUAAGUGAAAGUUUUGUUUAUGCCUAUAAAAUGGCUAACAAUGUCUUGCCCAAAAAGUUGAAUGACAUUGGCUUACAAUAUUGCUUUCAAAGAAUGAUGGAAAGAGUGUCUAAUGUAAACCCAACUAAGCAUGACUAAAGUAACUUUGAAUUCAUAACCAAGGUUAUGUCAAUCAUUGGUAUAAGUCGCAACAUACCCUUUCCAAAUGAACUAUGAACAUAGUAACAACAUUGAACAAAGUUCUUAACGUUUAUAAAGAAUGAUAUAAAAAUACCGAAAGACAUGAAAUGAGUUAGGGUGAGUAAUAACAUAAUUAAGUCUUUAAAUUAUGAAGGUGAUUAGUAUGGGGUGUUAAAGGAAGUGAGACAAGUCUCACUUACACCUAAGAUAGCUAUGUUAAAUAUACUCACAAAAGCUGGUGUUAAUAAUCGUGAAACAAGUCUCAUUAACACCAAGAUGAUAAUGUAAGGUUGAAUUUCACAUUUCAUCAAGUAAAUAAAGGAAUGACAAGUUAUCUAAAGAGUUAAGUAAACAUUAUAACUAGAAGCAAGCUUCCAUAAUGUUUGAUUCAACUCUAAAAGAUGUGAAGUAAAAGAAAUUGAGCAAAGUAACGAUAGACUAGCAAUGAGCUUGUUCCAGCACAUGUAAGUCUCAUGAGAUGAGGCUACCACCAAGGUGGAUAAGUAGUCUCCACAGGUAUCCUAGUCUUCGAACUAUGUUUCCACCAUAGGAACUUGCCAGUGGAUCCACCUAAGGGAGCUAGGUAUGAUGCGGUUUCACUUUGACCGUGAAACCACCCCUUUCGGUGUGGGGCAGACAUUGAAUUUCAUGCUUAGCUCACAUAAUCUAUGUCUGUUAAAUGCUCAAAGAAAGUAUUCUAUUCACUUUAUCCGUGAACCACCUAUUUUCAGUGUGGAGAAGACAAUGGACCUGAUUUCACUUUAGCUGGUGAACUACCCUUUUUCGGUGUGGGAUAGACAAUGGAAUUCACGUUAGCUCACAUGAUCUAGAUUCACUUUGAUCGUUGAAUCACCCCUUUUCGAUUUCUGACAGACACUGAAUUUCAUGUUAGCUCGCAUGAUCUUAAUUCUAAAGUUGUCCUUAAGAAAGAAAGAAAGAAGAAGUGAUGUAUGUUCAAUGUGAGCUAACGAAGUAAGAGCUUAAGAAUAUCAAUCUUCAGUGUUUGAUAAGAAUGAAGUUUUCAGCAAGUAAUGGGCAUAGUCAAAUAAAAUUGGCUUAUAAUAACUUCUUAUAUUAUGUCAAUAAAGGGGAGUAAAAGGUAAUGCCUAAUCAAUGCCUCAUAACCUCCAUAAUAUGAAAUUGAUGAAAUAAGUGGCCUAGCCAAUAAAGAUUCGCUUGUAAAGAGUCCAUGCAAAAUCUAACAAGAAUGAAAAGAAUAACUUGUUGUAAGGAUAGCCAAAUCAAUUCCUAAGUCCUUUGAAUUACUUACUUGAUUCAUUGUAGGUAUGAGACUACAAUGAAUCAUUGCACUUGAAAUUAAAAUAUAGGAUCAAAGGAGAUUGUUGAACUACACAACAAAAAGAAGAAAAGACUAAAAAAAAAUAAGUUCAGAAAAAGGUGCUCUCGGGUUUGGGGGAUCAAUUUUUAGAAUUUUCAUUCGAGUUGUUCUACAAUAAUGUUAAUGAUUCUAGGGUCUUAUGUUCAUAUAGAAAAUGAGUUGUGUGCUUUGAAUGCAUUAAAAUACGUCAUAUUCAUACCACAAUUCACAAAUAACUAAGUAGGAAAGUCUAGUGAUGUCACUUUCCAAAAAUGGCAUGUUGUUAUAGGAAGAGCUUUCCUUGAUCAUGUAUAGUCAUUAUGUGUAUGUGUACAUACACCAUACUUAGUAUAAGUGUGUACUAAUCCUAUAUUAUUAUUAUCUUUAUAGGUGCAGGUCAGAGAGAAGGUUGAAGAUUCAUCGAAGCUGUUUGGAUUCUCGAUCUACAGACUUUGGUAGAUCCUCUUGAUGUUCAAGGAUGCUACACUUAUCUAUCUAGCUUCGUACUUUAGACAUAGCUAUUGGAUGUUGUCCCUACAACAAAUUAUUCUUUUCAUUCUUUAACAAUUACCUUUACAUUUGAAGGACAUUGUACUUAAGAUGGUCCUUCAAAUGUAAAGGUAAUUGUUAAAGACAAUUUUUAUCCAUCAAAGUGGUAGAUGGUUGUUUUAAUUUGAGCUUAGUAGAAUAUUAAUCUAUGUAGAAAAUAUAUGAAGUCUAUGUAUACUUCAUUAUGUUUAAAAGUUUUAAAUUUUCCGCAAAUUUAACUAUAUGAAUGUGAUGAAAGCUAAGAAGAGGCUUGUCUGCGACCUUUGAGAGGUUAACAACGCCGGUUGCAUUCGGAUUUCAGAAUCCAGGUGUGACAGUAACUCACCUCAACAUCACUUUGAGAGUUCAAAUGUACCAAAUGUAUUACCACUUUGUAUUCAUUUAUUUUGAUGGAGGAUUUACAAAACUUUUUAAAUUGGGUUUCACCAACAACAAUGUGCCCAACAUCUCAUACCACUUUGAUGGAUAAAAAUUGUCUUUAACAAUUACCUUUACAUUUGAAGGACCAUCUUAAGUACAAUGUCUAAUAACCUUUUAUACAAUUUUAAUGGAAAAAAUUGUCUUCAAAUUUGAAGGAACAUCUUAAGAACCCAUAAUGUUCUUCCUUUUAAUUACCACAAUGAUGACCAUUAACAUUUCACCAUAUCCAUAUUCAUACAUUCAACCACUUGUCAUUUUUUAAAUAUAUUAAUACACUGCUACUGCAUUCACAUAAGGGAAUGAAGCAAAUUAAUUGGGUAAAUUUCAUGAUUUUCGGUCAAAAGUAUAAAUCUUUAUGUUAGUCAUCAUCAUAUCAUCACUAUAAUGCAUUAGGACUUCAACCCAAUGUCUUACCCAUAUAAAGACACCUUUGGUCAUAAAUCAAUAGGACUUCAUGGUGCCCAAUUGACUUUAACUCGAUGUCUUAGCACUUGGUGCGGUGAAACCUGAGUUCACCGUCUUAACCUCAACCAUUGCCUUAACAAACCAAAUGAAUUACCAAAAAUAUAAUUAUCGAAAAUCAUAAAUAUAAUCUGAACUUGACUUGAUAUACAAGAAAAAUGAACAAAUAAAUUAAUUAGAACAUGUUAGCAUCAUCUAAAAGCCCCAAGUUAAAAUAAAUUCAAACAUUUUAAUAGUCCCUCUCAACAUUGUUAUGAAGGUUAUUAUAAUUUACUAACCAUUUUAGAAUAACUACAAAACAAGCUUUGUUAGUACAAAUAAUAUUUUAAUAACUCAACAAGUAAAUGUUCAAAUGAAGAAAAAUAAAGAGGUGCAAAAGUAAACAACAACAAUAAUCCAAUAAAAGAAGAUCAUAAAGAACAAUUUCUUUACAAAUUGUUAACUUACAAACUAAAUUUACUUUUUAAAUAUAUAAGUGAACAAAUUAAAAGUUUACUAAAAGUAAAAGCAACUUGUUGGACUCAUAUGAUUUGGAGAUGGUAAGAAAAAUAAUGAUGCAAAAUCAAAAGUAAAAUAUAAAAUAAAUUAUAUAGAAAUUUACCUUGAGAGAAAAAUAAACACAAAUAUUUUUACCUUCUUUAUGUUGUAUUUGCUUCAAUCCUUCAAUAGUAGAACAAUUGUGUUGAUAACGUGUUGUAAAAAUAAUCCAAACUAACAAUAUAAAGAUAAAGAAAAGAAGAAUAUAAGACAAGAAAUAUAGUAGAUGAAAACAAUAAAAAUAUGGACACAAGAGAUGAUAGCUUUUCUUAUUCAUCAAAGUAUUCAUCAAAUCUUCAAGUGUAUACAAUGUGAACCCUUAUGCCUCUAUUUAUAGUGUAACAUAGAGGCAUACAAAAGGUUAGUCAUAAAAAUGACAUUAACAUGAAUAUAAUGGGAGAUUAUGAAAGUGAAAUGUUACAAGCAUAAUGAUUAUAAAGGUGGAGGUUAUGGAGGUUAUGAUCAUCUUCAUAAUGAGGAAAACAUUUGAGAUAAUGGUGAAUAACUUCUUGGUGUAGUGGAAAUCCACACUAUGAUAUUUUAUAACAAUUGUUGAGUUCUCUACAUACUCACUAUUUAUGUUAUUUAAACGUUACUAUUUAAUUUGAUUUAAAUUCAAUGAAGGAUCGCAAAUUUUUUAUUAUGGUGAACUAGCUUUCAACCUUUAAGUAAUAAAAAUAUGAUUGUAUAAUAUUUAAUUAAAUAUUUUAUGAUAUUUUGAUUUAUCCCAUGGUUACCUUGUAAUUCGACAUUGAUGAUAAAAGCUAAUACGAUAUGAUAUGAUUAAGUAUAUAAUAACUAAUUAAGUCUUUAAAAAAGGGUAAAAAUUGAUCAAGUAUAUAAUAACUAAUUAAGUCUUUAAAAAGGGGUAAAAAUUGAUUAAGUAUAUAUGUCACGACCCAAAACGAGCCGCGAGUGGCACCCACACUUAUCCUACUAUAUGAGUGAACCAACCAAUCUAAACCCCAACAUUUCAACCAUAAGAAACAGAAUAUAAUGCGGAAGACUUAAAACUCAUUAAUAAACAUCGAUUAAAUAACUUCUAAAACUCAAUACUUAUUAUUCCCAAAAUCUGGAAGUCAUCACCACAAGAACAUUCUAUCCUCAAAUUACUAAAUCUAAGAGUAUCUAGGAAGCUAAAAUAAGUAAACAGAUGGUCCAUGUCCGAACUUCAAGGACAUCAAGACAUGAAUGAGAGAGAAUCCAGUCCGAGCUAGGAACAAUAGCUCACCCAGAAAUCUGACGUGAUGAAGACUAGCUAGAGUUGAGGACGAGUUGAAGUCGAUGGUACGUUUGCUUCACUCCACAAAUAACAAAGAAGAAAAUUACAAGUAGGGGUCAGUACAAGGCACAAGUACUGAGUAGGUAUCAUCGACCAACUCAAAAUAGAAAGCAAUAUAUAUCAGAUAAUAACAUAAAAUUGACUACCAUACUCAACUGGUGACAACAACAAGUACCAUAACCAUUGGCCACAACCCAAGCACAUCUAUGAGGACUGAAGCCUCCACACCAUACUCAUUUGGGGAAUAGGUUCUUUAAAUUUGAGUAUAUUAACAUAAUUAAAGAUUCAUUCUCUUUAUUAUCCUGGUGUCAAAACGUGACACUCUGAUCCCCUACUACUACAUGUCGGUUCGUGACACCCGAUCCCCUAAUUCUAUGUGUCGGUUCGUUACACCUAAUCCCCUAAUUCCUGGUGUCGGUACGUGACACCUGAUCCCCUAAUUCUACGUGUCGGUUCGUGAUACCCGAUCCACUAAUCUCAUUCCUUUAGUUCAUCAAACCUUCUUUUAUACCAAGGCAUCAUCAUUAACAAAUUGGAUUUAAGGUUUUUAAGAUUCCACAGUAUCAUCAUUAUAAUCCAUCACCAUUUACAUAAUCACAACAUGCAACAACACAAUUAAGCAUAUAGAAGACUUUACAAUACCACUCAACACAUAUCAUUCGCUAUUAAGAUUUCACUAUGAAAUAGCAUAAACCAUAACCUACCUCCAUCGAAGAAUCGUGAUCAAGCAAUCUACUUCUCCAAUGCUUUUUGCUUUCUCUUCGUUCUUCUUUCUCUCUCGCUCGUUCUCUCUUCUUUUCUUUUUAAUUUUCUCCUCUUUCAAAUUCCCUUUGUUUUACCCUAAUUACCAUAUAAUUAAGUAUAAAAGAUGAUAAAAGUAACCCACUAUUUAUUUUAAGGUUAUCUCCUUUAACCCUCAAGUAAAUAAGUUAUUAAACUUACCCACUAAUUUCAUACAGUUUGACAUAAAUAGUCCAAAACACCCCUUUAAAACUUUAGGAGAAAUCUGACCCAGUCAAGGUUACGCAGCUCGUGACGGCCCAUCGUGCCUGCUACUGUCCGUCCUUCUAUUUCCGUCACAAAGUUCAGAGAGUCGAAUUCAUUAAAGAGUCUGUGACGGUCCGUCGUGCCUACGAUGGUCCAUGCUGCUCUUCCAUCGCGAAGUUCAGAGAGUUGUUUCCCCGUACCCAAAUUUCAGAGUUUAAGUGUUUUGGGAUGGAGACCCUCAACGAUCCGUCGUGUGGUCCGUCGACACAGUCAGUUAUUUUCAAAACUAAACUUUACUACUCGAAAUGACUAAACAGGUUGUUACAAUAGAUACCAAUUUACCCAUCGUUCGUCCUCGAACGAUUACAAGAAGAAAAACAAGGGCAAGAAAGAGUACCUGAAUCUGUGAAAAGGUGUGGAUAUCUUUCUUGCAUAUCAGCCUCCUUCUUCCAAGUGGACUCUUCAACUGGCCGAUUCUUCCAUUGAACCUUGAUGGAUGCAAUCUCGCUUGAUCUCAACUUGCGGACUUCUCUAUCUAAAAUGGCAAAAGGCUCCUCCUCAUAAGACAAAUUCUCAUCAAGAAGAACUGAAUCCCAACGAAUGAUGUAGUUUCCAUCCCAAUGGUAUCUUUUCAGCAUAGACACAUGAAAUACCGGGUGCACUCCAAAGAGUCCUAGGGGCAAGGCUAAUUCAUAAGCUACCUCCCCCACGCGGUUUAGAACUUCAAAUGGACCAAUGUACCUCAGACUCGCUUACCUCGCUUACCGAACCGCAUCACCCAUUUCAUGGGUGAAACCUUCAGCAAGACUUGUUCACCCUUCAUAAAAUCCAAGUCUCUAACCUUUCGAUCUGCAUAUUCUUUCUGUCUACUUUGAGCCGCUAAAAGCUUUUCUUGAGUGCAUUUCACUUUAUCUAACGAUUCCCUCAGAAGGUCAGUACCCCAAGGUCUAACCUCAAAUGCAUCAAACCACCGAAUGGGAGACCUACAUCUUCUCCCAUAUAGUGCCUUAAAUGGGGCCAUAUCAAUACUUGAGUGAUAGCUAUUGUUGUAUGAGAAUUCUUCUAAGGGUAAGAAGUUAUCCCAAUGACCACCAAAUUCUAUCACACAUGCACGAAGCAUAUCCUCCAAAACCUGAAUUGUUCACUCAGACUGACCAUCAGCCUGAGGGUAAAAUGCAAUACUAAGGUCUAACCUAGUACCUAAUUCAGCAUGCAAUUUUCUCCAAAACUUAGAAGUAAACUGCGUACCUCUAUCUGAUAUGAUGGAAAGUGGAACUCCGUGCAAUCGAACAAUUUCUGAGAUAUAAAGUUUGGCUAACUUCUCUGCAUUGUAAGUCACCUUAACCGGAAUGAAGUGAACAGACUUAGUUAAUCUGUCAACAAUCACCCAAAUAGAGUCAUACUUACCCAUUGUCUUUGGAAGACCAACCACGAAGUCCAUUGCAAUUCUCUCCCACUUCCAUUCAGGGAUGGGCAUUCUCUGAAGUGUCCCUCCAGGCUUCUGGUGUUCAUACUUUACCUGCUGACAAUUCAGGCUUUGAGCAACAAAAUCAACAAUGUCACGCUUCAUCCUAAACCACCAAAAAUAUUACUUUAGGUCAAGAUACAUCUUGGUUGCACCAGGAUGUAUAGAAUACCUUGAACUAUAAGCCUCUGUAAGAAUAGUGUAAAUCAAAUCAUUGACGCGGGGUACACAUACCCUUCCCUUAAUUCUCAAAACACCUUCCUCAUCGAUUUUUGCUUCUUUAGCCUCUCCUCGCGAUACCUUAUCUCGAAUCCGGAUCAGUUUCUCAUCAAUAAACUGUUUUCCCUUAAUCUUGUCAAGAAAGGAAGAUCUUGCCUCCACACAGGCCAAAAAUCCUCCUUUCUCUAGUACUUCCAGCCUCAUAAAGUCAUUAGCCAGAGUCUGAACCUCUCUAGACAAUGGGCGUCUAGAAACCUGCAAGUGAGCUAGACUUCCCAUGCUUCCUGUCUUUCUACUUAAAGCAUCUGCCACAACAUUAGCUUUUCCCGGAUGAUACAAGAUAGUGAUAUCAUAGUCCUUCAGUAGUUCCAUCCAUCUCCUCUGUCUCAAAUUCAAAUCUUUCUGAGUAAAGACAUACCUGUAAACUACGAUGAUCCGUAUAGACUUCACACUUAACCCCAUAUAGAUAAUGUCUCCAUUGCUUUAAUGCAAACACUACUGCAGCCAACUCCAAAUUAUGGGUCGGAUAAUUACGUUCAUGCACCUUUAAUUGCCUCGAAGCAUUAGCAAUUACAUUCUUCUCUUGCAUUAGCACUGCACCCAAACCAGAAUAGGAUGCAUCACAGUAAACAAUGAAAUUGUUACCUUCCACUUGCAGGGUAAGAAUUGGUGCAGUAGUCAACAAAGUCUUGAGCUUCUGAAAGCUUUCUUCACACUCGUCCGACCAUACAAAUGGAACACUCUGCUUAGUCAAGUUUGUCAAUUGGGAAGCAACAGAAGAAAAUCCCUUGACAAAUCGAUGGUAGUAGCUAGCUAAACCAACGAAGCUCCUUACCUCUGUAACAUUAGUAGGUCUCACCCAACUCUUCACUGCUUUGAUCUUAGAAGGAUCCACCAUUACUCCAUCCUUAGAAACUACGUGCCCCAAGAAGGACACUGAAUCUAGACAAAACUCACACUUGGAGAAUUUGGCAUAAAACUUUUUCUCCCUGAACAUUUCCAAUACAAUUCUCAAGUGCUCCUCAUGUUCUUUCUUGCUCUUGGAGUAUACCAGUAUAUCAUUAAUGAAUACAAUGACAAAGAGAUCCAGAUAUGGCUUAAAAAUCCUGUUCAUCAAGCUCAUGAAAGCAGCAGGGGCAUUCGUAAGCCCAAAAGACAUUACUAAGAACUCAUAAUGUUCAUACCUGGUCCGGAAAGCAGUUUUUGGCACAUCUGUUGCCCGUAUUUUCAAUUGAUGAUAACCAGAUCUCAAAUCGAUUUUUGACAAGGUACAAGCACCUUGUAACUGAUCGAACAAAUCAUCGAUGCGAGGAAUAGGAUACUUAUUCUUAAUAGUUACCUUAUUCAGUUGUCUGUAGUCUAUGAACAUCCGAAAACUUCCAUCCUUCUUCUUCACAAACAAAACAGUAGCACCCCAAGGGGAAGCGCUUGUUCUAAUGAAGCAUUUUCCUAACAACUCUUGAAGUUGGGCCUUUAACUCCCUUAACUCAGCGGGAGCCAUUCUAUAAGGGGGUAUGGAAAUGGGGCAAGUACCCGGCUCCAGAUCAAUGCAAAAUUCAAUAUCCCUAUCCGGUGGCAUACCAGGAAGGUCUGCAGGAAACACAUCCAAAAACUCAUGGACUAUCGAAAUCGACUCAAUUGAAGGUACUUAGGUAGUAUCAUCCCUGAUGUGUGCCAAGAAAGCUAAACACCCUUUACUAACCAUUCUCUUAGCACGAAGAAAGGAGAUGAUACGAACUAGAGUGGAAGUGUAGUCACCCUCCCAUACUAACGGAUCUGUCCCAGGCUUGGCCAACAUUACAGUUUUAGCAUUACAAUCUAAGAUUGCAAAAUUUGGAGAAAGCCAAGUCAUACCCAGAAUUACAUCAAAGUCAACCAUUUCUAGGAUAACCAAGUCUACAUGAGUAUUGCUCCCCACAAAAGCCACAAGACAAGACCUAUACAUCUUUUCAACUAUCACAGACUCACCCACCGAAGUAGAAACACGAAUAGGCAUGUCAAGCAAAUCACAAUGUAAAUCAAAACCAGUAGCAAAUGAGGAAGAUACAUAUGAAAAUGUGGAGCCAGGAUCAAAUAAUACAGAAGUUAUGCAAUCACAAACCAAAAGAUUACCUGUGAUAACAACAUCAGAUGUCUCCGCUUCAGACCUCCCAGGGAAAGCAUAACAAUGGGCCCUAUCACCUGUCUGCCCAUUGCCCCUACCAUGUUGCGCUGCAGUAGUUCCACUUUGCCCGCCACCCCGGUUGAUUUGGUGACCUCCAUUACCUUGGCCACCCCGUCCUCCAGAAUAGCGGCCUCUUCCAUGACCACCUCUACCUCUAAAUAUUGGGGGUCUAUAGCUCUGUUUUGGACAAUACCUCCUAAUAUGUCCAGUCUCCCCACAUCCAUAACACUCUCUGGGUUCAAGCAUAGGUCUCUGUGAGAACGACGGAGUCUGGGGAUAACCCCCAAACUCAGAGAAGUGUUGACCAGUCUGCGGUGGACCCCCAGUUACAGCCUGCAGUGAGGACUGAAUAGGUCGGGCUGGGUAACCUCCUAAACUCUGCCCUCUGGAGUAAGACCCACCAAACUCACCUCCCUUACAAAACUUCUUAGGUGUCGAUGCCAUGGUGAAGUCGUCUUGCUUCACUCCCUCCACUUCUAUCAAAAAAUCUACCACCUCCUGAAAGGAUUUUGCUACAGUAGCUACCUGUAAGGCUGGAAUCUACAAAUCUGACCUCAAUCCCUUUACAAAACGGCGAAUCCGCUCUUGUGGACUGAAGCAAAGCUGGGUGGCAUACCUGGAUAAUGCACGAAACUUAGCCUCAUAAGUAGUAACCGACAUCCUGCCUUGUUCUAGGCUCAGGAAUUCAUCCCUCCUCCUAUCCCUCAAGGUCCGGGGUAUAUACUUCUCUAUAAACAAGCUAGAGAAUGAUGCCCAAGUCAUAGGUGGUGCAUGUGCUUGUUGACACUCAACAUACGAUCGUCACCACAUUUUCACAUUUCCCUGAAACUGAUAGGUUACAAACUCAACAUCGAAUCGUUCCACUAUGCCCAUCUUAUGUAGCAGCUCAUGACAAUCAACCAGAAAAUCAUAGGCAUCCUCAGAUUCAGCACCCUUGAAGACUGGAGGUUUCAAUUUCAAGAACUUCGUGAAAAGUUUGUCCUGAUCACUCGUCAUUAUAGGCCCUGUAGUCAAUCGAGGAAACGUGCCUAUUUCCAAUGAGGCAUCCAUGUGGGGAGCCACAGCAGCUGCAUGUUGUACUCCCGGAACCUGCGGUGCUGGUGAAGAAAACACCAGAGGCGUUUGGCCUUGAUCGGAUAACCCGCUAAGAUAAGCAAGAACCUGGUUAAUCAUCUCUGGGGUAGGUUGGGGUGGUAAUUCAUCAUUCUGCACUUGCUCAUUCUCCCCUUCCUCACCCUCUCUUACUACUUCCUCAGUCGGUGGAGGAGUCACCGCCCUAGUACUAGAUGGGCCAGGUGCUUGUCCUCUUCCUAUAGAAGACGUCCUCCCGCGACCUCUACCACGGCCUCUUGCCACUGCUCCUCUUCGAGCUACAGCCUCAGUGGCUGGCUCAGAUGCAUCCUGUCUUGCCAGUGUUGGUGUUGGCGCGGUUGUUGCUCUAGUUCUAACCAUCUGGGAAAUAGAGUGGAGAUGGUCAGAUACCAAUUUGUAUCACCUAGAUACCAAUUGGAUCCAAGUAAUAGCAUGAAAGAAAGAAAGAACGGAAUUUUUCUAAAGUCCUAUAGCCUCUCAGAGAAAAGUAAAGGCGUCCCCCUACCGUUCCUCAAGACUCUACUAGACUCGUUCUUGUGUGAUGAGACCAACGAACCUAAUGCUCUGAUACCAAGUUUGUCAUGACCCAAAACGAGCCCCGAGUGGCACCCACACUUAUCCUACUAUGUGAGCGAACCAACCAAUCUAAACCCCAACAUUUCAACCAUAAGAAACAGAAUAUAAUGCGGGAGAAUUAAAACUCAUUAAUAAACAUCGAUUUAAUAACUUCUAAAACUCAAUACUUAUUAUUCUCAAAAUCUGGAAGUCAUCACCACAAGAACAUUCUAUCCUCAAAUUACUAAAUCUAAGAGUAUCUAGGAAACUAAAAUAAGUAAACAGAUGGUCCAUGUCCGAACUUCAAGGACAUCAAGACAUGAAUGAGAGAGAAUCCAGUCCGAGCUAGGAACAAUAGCUCACCUAGAAAUCUGACGUGAUGAAGACUGGCUAGAGUUGAGGACGAGUUGAAGUCGAUGGCACGUUUGCUUCACUCCACAAAUAACAAAGAAGAAAAUUACAAGUAGGGGUCAGUACAAGGCACAAGUACUGAGUAGGUAUCAUCGACCAACUCAAAAUAGAAAGCAAUAUAUAUCAGAUAAUAACAUAAAAUCGACUACCAUACUCAACUGGUGACAACAACAAGUACCAUAACCAUUGGCCACAACCCAAGCACAUCUAUGAGGACUCAAGCCUCUACACCAUACUCAUUUGGGGAAUAGGUUCUUUAAAUUUGAUUAUAUUAACAUAAUUCAAGAUACAUUCUCUUUAUUAUCCUGGUGUCGGAACGUGACACUCCGAUCCCCUACUACUACAUGUCGGUUCGUGACACCUGAUUCCCUAAUUCUACGUGUCGGUUUGUGACACCCGAUCCCCUAAUUCCUGGUGUCAGUACGUGACACCCGAUCCCCUAAUUCUACGUGUCGGUUCGUGACACCUGAUCCCCUAAUCUCAUUCCUUUAGUUCAUCAAGCCUUAUUUUUACCAAGGCAUCAUCAUUAACAAAGUGGAUUUAAGGUUUUUAAGAUUCCACAGUAUCAUCAUUAUAAUCCAUCACCAUUUACAUAAUCACAACAUGCAACAACACAAUUAAGCAUAUAGAUGACUUUACAAUACCACCCAACACAUAUCAUUCGCUAUUAAGAGUUCACUUGAAAUAGCAUAAACCAUAACCUACCUCCACCGAAGAAUCGUGAUCAAGCAAUCUACUUCUCCAAUGUUUUUUGCUUUCUCUUCGUUCUUCUUUUUCUCUCGCUCGUUGUCUCUUCUUUUAUUUUUAAUUUUCUCCUCUUUCAAAUUCCCUUUAUUUUACCCUAAUUACCAUAUAAUUAAGUAUAAAAGAUGAUAAAAGUAACCCACUAUUUAUUUUAAGGUUAUCUCUUUUAACCCUCAAGUAAAUAAGUUAUUAAACUUACCCACUAAUUUCAUACAGUUUGACAUAAAUAGUCCAAAACACCCCUUUAAAACUUUAGCAGAAAUUCGACCCAGUCAAGGUUACGCAGCUCGUGAUGGCCCAUCGUGCCUGCGACGGUCCGUCCUGCUAUUUCCGUCACAAAGUUCAGAGAGUCGAAUUCAUUAAAGAGUCUGUGACGGUCCGUCGUGCCUACGACGGUCCGUGCUGCUCUUCCGUCGCGAAGUUCAGAGAUUUGUUUCCCCAUACCCAAAUUUCAGAGUUUAAGUGUUUUGGGACGGAGACCCUCGAUGAUCCGUCAUGACCUCGACGAUCCGUCGUGACUACGACAGUCCGUCGUGUGGUCCGUCGACACAGUCAGUUAUUUUCAAAACUAAAGUGUACUGCUCGAAACGACUAAACAGGUCGUUACAAUAUAAUAACUAAUUAAGUCUUUAAAAAAGGUUAAAAAAGUCUAGCAACUUUCUCUUGAUAUUUUCGUCUUUCAUUUUUGAUUUAAUACUAUCCCACUUUCAACAUUUACUAUAUGAUAUUCUUGUUAUUUAAUAUUCAAUUAAUUAGAUGAUUUAUUAUUUUUUAUUGAGUGGAGGAGACAUAUAUAUAUAUAUAUAUAUAUAUAUACACACACACGCACACACACACACACACAUUGUUUUAUCAAUUAAAACUUUUCACAUCUUUCCUUACGAGAAUUAUGAUUAUAAUUAAGUCAAGAACAAAGUAUCAUGUUUGAAUACUUAUUUUUUAUGUUGAAACUUAUGCUCUUAAAUUUGUUUGUAAUUAUCUCUCAUUCUCGGCUAGCCAUUUGGUGUUUUAAUAUAAGUUUUUCUUUACAUAUUUAUUAGAGUCGUUUGUUUUUAUGAAUCAUUUUUUAUUCUCGCUCAACUUGCAUUUUUUAGGGCAUCAUGGGAAAAUCACCAUUUAGAUUCUUAUAAAUAAUGUAAGGAUGGGUCGGCUCAUCCUCAGAAUUUAAAAAAAAUGAUAGAACAAAGUCACUUGAUUUUCGUAACACAUUGGUUCGACUCGUAAAUUCGUCGAUUAUUCUAUCACAACCCUAGUAGCCAAGUGUUGAUAUUUCAUUCUAACUUAAAAUUCUUAUCAUUUUUGAGUGCAAUAUAAUCAUGAAUUAAGGGCUUUUGUCGACUCUCUGAUCUUAGAAAAGAAAGGUUAUUUUGUUUCCAACGAUUUUAGUAAGUAUCAUUGGUACAAAUCCAUUUUAUUAAUUGAUUUGUUGAUAUUUUUGGCCAUCUUUUAAAUCUCAUUCUAACCUAAGAUUCUUGUGGUUCUUGAGGACAUGAGAAACAAGAUCAGAAACUUUUUGUCGAUUCGUUGAUCUGAAAAAUGGAUAGUGAUUUUCAUUUCUAAUGAUUUUAGUAAGUACUAGUCUUGCACACGUAUAACACACGUGUAUCUCAUCCUAAUUUUAUAUAAUCAUUAGAAUUAAUGAUAAAUGUAUUUUUCAAUAGAACAAAGUUUUACAAUUAAUAGAAAUUUCAUUUUGACCUAUGAAAGUAUCCUUGCAAUGAAAAAGAAAUUCUAGCCUGAAGUUUUUGUUAGAGAACUGAUUGGUUAAAGACCAAAGGUGAUAAGAAAAGUCAAAAUAAAAUAUGCUAUCAAAUCACGUUAACAUUCAGUGAAAUCCAUGCAACAAGUAAUAAAAGUAGCAAAAUAUAAAGAUAAUGUAAUUUUUUUCUUAAGUUUAUUUUAAAGAUAGUUUUUUAAAAUUUUUACUUAUUAAGUUUACAAGUUAAGUCUAUAAGUUUUCAAGAUUUGAAUCUUUUGAAGUUUAUAAGCUAUUACUUAUUAAUAUGUUAUAAAUUUGUAAUUUUAAAAAAAUAAAUAAAUAUAAGAAUAAAAAAUUACACAAAUUAAAAAAUAUAAUAUAAAAAAUAUAAACUAUAAACUAUAAUAUAGGUUAAUUAAUAAAUAAUAAUUAAUCGGAAACCGAACCGACACCGAACUGGACCGGCAUCGAACCAGACCGGAUCGGGAUCUGGAUAAAUCGAUACAGGUACACCGGUAUCAAAUCACGAUUACAUUCGUUUCGUUUACCGAUUCAUGGUGUCUCGUUCCGUCUCGUAGGCAAUCAAAUCGGUGCAAACUGAAACGGUAUAGAUCCGUUGCCCAGUCUUACUUAAGAGUAACUUAACAAAAAACUUUCUGUUAAUAAUUAGGUUUAUUUAUAUGACCCAUUGGUGACAUUUAUGAAUAUGAAUUUUGGAUAUAACUCAAUCCAAAAGUAAGAAUGAUUUUUCAAAAAUCUGAAGUAUUCCUUAACGGGAGCAUGCACAAUAUACCAUGGAGUUCAAUAAUAAAUCAAAACUAUUUUAACAGACUUUGAUACCAAGUAAAUAUAUAGAAAAAGAAAAUUUAUCUAUAUACUCCCUCUAUCGCUAAUUACUUGUUCAUAUUUUCUCUUCCUCUUUAGAUGUUCCCAUUUACUUGUCCAUUUUGACAAAUCAAGAAAGAACAAAAAAUAAAUUCUAUUGUAUCCUUAUUUAAAUUUUUUAAAAAUUUCUAAGUUUUAAUUUAUGUUUUUUGAAAUCAUAUUUAAUAAAGGUAAAAUUAUAAUUUUACUAUAUUAACUAUUAUUAUCUUAAUAUGUGUGUCUCUUCUAAAGUGAACAGCUAAAUAGGCACAGAGAAAGUAUAUAUAACUUAUAAGGAUAUCAACUUUUUUUUUAAAUGUUGCAAUUAAUUCUCAUGGCUCUAUAUAUAAGGAUAUCAACUUUUUUUUUUAAAAUGGUGCACUUAAUUCUCAUGGCUCUAUAUAUAAGGAUAUCAACUUUUUUUUAAUGUUGCACUUAAUUCUCAUGUCCCACAUAAUGUUCACUGAGUCAAACAAUUAACUUUGAAAUUUGAUCCAAAUACAGAAAUUUUAUCUCAAAUAUUGCCACACAACACAUCUAGAUUCUUCCAUUAAACAACUUUAUGCCUAUAAAAAGGAAAACUCCCAAAUGAAAAAAGUGGAAAGUUAUUUUGGUUGAGAAGAACCAAAACAACUUUUCCAGCAAAGAAAAAGUUAGCCCAGAAAACCUAAAAAGGAAAAAAAGAGGCAAAACAGAGAGUUUUAGGAAUUUUUCUUUAACAAGGGUGGUUGCCCCUCUCUUGUUUAGCCAAUGAUUUUUAUUUUUAUUUUUCAGAAGCAACAACCCUUGGAUUCAUGUUAAUUUCUUGGAAAUGACUGGAUCAUUCAAAGGGCAAUUAUACUAUAUUCCACCACUCUUGCAAAUAAUCUUGGUUCUUUUUUUAUUUUUUUUGUUGUUACUCUCUCUACGGUAUGUAUGUGUGUUGUAUUAGAGGCGAUGAUGAUGAUGAUAAUAAUAAUUUUUCGAAUUCUAGGCUAACUGGAUUGGGGAUGGAGACUAUGCGAUCCGUAUCUUGGCUUGGCAAAUCAUCUUGAUUUUGCAGCCAUGGCGUGGUUGCCUCUCUUUCGUCCUCAUCUCUUUGCAGAUCUGAGCCUCCAAAUUGUUAUCAACAACAUUUGAAUUUCUUGAAAUAGUAAUUCAAAAAUUGUUUUUCAUUUUUUUGAAAAAAUAAUAUAUUAUGAUCUUUUAUUAUCUAUCAAUCUGAUUUUUUUUAUUUAUUUAUUACCUUAAAAUCAUAAUGAACUUGAUGUAGAAAUUUCUCGAUUUUAGGUUUGUGACUUUUUGAUGAAAUUUACAAGUUGUGUUUUUUUUAAUAGUUGUGAUUUUUCCCACUGGUAUAAGAAAUAGUUGUGGUAUAUAAUAAAGAGUUGGACUUUUUAGGAGUAUGAUUUUUUGGAAUGGUCCAGAAAAUGCUUGUUUAUGCAACUCUUUGUUGAAUAUAGGCCUAAUUCAUCGGUGGUUCUUAAAAUUGAUUUUAACUUUCAAUUAGAUACUCUAAUUAGAUUUUGUUGAUUUAUAUUUUAAGGUAGGUUUUCACGAUAUUAUUUUGAUAUGUUUUGCUUACAAGGUAUAAUGAGUAUUGUACACACUCACUAUGCGUAAAAGUCUUAUUCACAAUUUUAUUAAAAAAAACUCUUUUUCUUCAUUUUCUAGCUACAAUGUCCGAAACGUAUUAUAAAAAUCUAUGAUAAAAUAAAUUUCGUAAUAUCACAAAUAAAAAAGUAAAUUUCAGCUCAUAAAAUUUUUCAAAAGUUUAAAUUUUAUAUUAUGAAAUAAUAAUUAAUUUCUUUUUCAUGAAUCACAAUAUUUGAAAAAAAAUAUAUAUUACAUUAUUAAUCAAUAACUUAAAAGAAAAGAAGAAAAUAUCAUAUUUUUUAAGAUAAUUUUUUCAAACUAAUUAAGUUCUUUUAAAAGUAUCUUUUGAAAAUUUGAUAUGAGAAGAAACGGGAUACAAGUUGGAGUUGGUGAGGGCGGAGAGGAGGAUCUGGUGACUGGUGGGGUGAAGGAAUGAUUGCGGUUGCGGUGGAGAGGAAGAUCUGAUGGCUGGUAGGGUGGAAGAGUUGUAGGGGUUGGGGUUGGGGUGGGUGUGGGUGGAGAAGGAAACUGGGUCGGGUGGGUGAAGAAGACGACGGGGUUGAGCUGGAAUAAUUAUUUCAUUCUUAUUAUUGAGUUUAAAAUGACAUACGUCAUCAAAUUUUUGGCUUUUUUUCUACUCAAAAGUCAUUAUACAUAUAUAUAUAUAUAUAUAUAUAUAUAUAUAUAUAUAUAUAUAUAUAUAUAUGUUACGUGUCUUUAUUUGAUUCAUCACUUUGACAAAUUAUCAACAAGUGUAUUAUAUACACUUGUAUAUUUGAGUGAUUGUAAAAAAAGUGUCAAAAAGCCAUAAUAUAACCUUACAUAAAGUGUCUAAAAUGAAAAAAAGUUUAGUUAAAGUGUCUAAGAAAGUUAUUGUCAAUUUUAGGGGGUCAUCGAUGGGUUAGGCCUUGACUAUAAAUAGAGAAGUUUAUCUAUUCUUUUUCUUGCAUUUUAUUUUUUUUAAAAUUUAAUUAUGGAUAGUCCAAUAACUAUAUUUGAUUUGUGUAAACAUUAAUUUAGGGAACGUGUAUUCCGUACUAAUUAAUAUAGAAUCAUUAGAAUUAAUAAAUAAUUUUCUAAUAGAACAAAGUUUUAUAAUUAAUAGAAAUUUCAUUUUGUACUAUGAAAGUAUCUUUGCUGAAAAAUAUUUUUCUAGCCUGAAGAUUUAGUUAGAGAACUGAUUGGUUAAAGACUAUAUGUGGCAACAAAAUUAAAAAUAAAUAGGCUAAGCAAUCACGUGAAUAUCUAGCAAAAUACAUGCAACAAGGAAUAGAAAUAACAAAAUAUAAAGAUAAUAACAAUGACCUACAUACUUGAUAACAAUUCAUAUGUUCUUUAUAUAAAAAAGAAGAUAAAAAAUAAAAAUUAGAAGUAAUUGAAGUAGUCAACAUCAUUACAGAUAUGAUAAUUUCUUCUUCUACUAUCUAAAUCAAUUUGCCUUAAAAAAUAAAUUACUACACAUUGAGUUUUGAAUUGCAACCCCAUUACAUAUCCAUAUUAUGUGAGUUUUUAAUAAGUUAACAUUAAAAAUAAACAAUAAAUAUGUCAAAUCACUUUAUUUGAACUAACUUUUUAGUUUCUGAAAACUUUUUACACUUCCCAAAAAUGUGCACAAGCAGAAAUAUUUAUUGUAGAUCAUUUAAUGAUAAUAAAUCAAAUAUUGUGAAAUAACAAUGAAUGUGAAGUUCGUUAAAAUUAAUUAAUAGAUGAAAAGAAGAAAAAAUUAAAAUAAUUAGUAGUAAUAAUUGAGAUAAUUCAUAUUGUUAUAAAUGAAGUAUUUUAGAGGCAACUCAUAUGUGUAAGUUAUAUUACGUAUGCACAUAAUAGGUGAAAAAAAAUUAACUGAUUAAAAAAGAUAUUGUUCAACUUUUCAUUUAUGUAAGAAUUUAGGGAAAAUACCCAAGUACCCCCUCGACCUAUGCCCGAAAUUCCAGAGACACACUUAUAUUAUACUAAGGUCCUAUUACCCCCCUGAACUUAUUUUAUAUGUAAUUUUCUACCCCUUUUUAGCCUACGUGGCACUAGUUCGAAAAAAAAAGUCAACCAUCGUUGGGCCCACAAGAUAGUGCCACGUAAGCUAAAAAGGGGUAAAAAAUUAUUAAUAAAAUAAGUUCAGGGGGGUAAUAGGACCUUAGUAUAGUAUAAGUGUGUCUCUGAGAUUUCGGGCAUAGGUUGAGGGGGUACUUGGGCAUUAUCCCAAGAAUUUACUUACAAAAGUACGUAAUGAGCGAAUAAAUUAGUUUCAUACAUAUAGGGAGAAUUGAAUAUGGAGGGUUAAAAUAUAAUUGUUGAGUUUUCAACAUACUAGCUAUUUGUGUUAUUUAAACAUUACUAUUUGAUUUGAUUUUAAUUCAAUGAAGGACCGAAAAUUUUGUCCAGUAGUAAACUUGCAUUCAACCUUCAAGUAAUUAAAAUAUGAUUGUAUAAUAUUUAAUUAAAUAUUUUAUGACAUAUUUAAAUUUAUCUCAAUGAUAACCUUGUAAUUCGAUGUUGAUUAUAAAAACUAAUAUAAUAUGAUACGAUUAAAUAUAUAAUAACUAAUUAAGUCUUUAAAAAAGGGUAAAAAACCUUGCAACUUUCCCUUGACAUUUUCAUCUUUCAUUAUACUAUCUCACUUUGAACAUUUACUAGAUGAGAUGCUUGUUUUUUAAUAUUCAAUUUAUUAGAUGUUUUAUAAUUUUUUAUUGAGUGGAGUGACAUUGCGUAUACAUUGUUUUAUCAAUUAGAAAUUUUCGUAUUCUUCUGUUACGAGAAUUAUGAUUAUAAUUAACUCAAAAACAAUAUAUCGUGUUUGAAUACUUAUAUUUUGAGUUGAAAAUUAUGUUCUUAAAUUUGUUCAUAAUUAUCUCAAAUUCUUGGCUAACCUGGUGAUUUAAUAUAAGUUUUUCAUUACAUACUAUUAUAGUCGUAUACUUUUAUGAACCAUUUUUUAUUCUCGCUCAACUUGCAUUUUUCUAAGGGCAUCAUGGAUAAAUCACCAUUCAGCUUCUUAUAAAUAAUGUUAGGAUGGGUCGAUUCAUUCUCGGAAUUUUCUUAAAAAAUGAUAGAACAAAGUCUCAACUCGUAAGUUCUUCGAUUAUACUAUCACAACCCUAGUAGCCAAGAGUUGAUAUUUCAUUCUAACUUAAGAUUUUUAUGGUUUUUUAAUGCAAGAAAAUCAUGAAUUGAGGGUUUUUAUGUCGACUCUUUGACCUUACAAAAGAAAGGUUAUAUUGUUUCCAACGAUUUUAGUAAGUAUCAUUGGCACAAAUCCAUUUUAUUAAGUAAUUUAUUGAUAUUUUUGUCAUCGUUAAAAUCUCAUUCUAGCCUAAGAUUCUUGUGGUUCUUGAGUGCAUGAGAAACAAGAACAGAAGGUUUUUGUCGAUUCGUUGAUCUGAAAAUUAGACAAUGAUUUUCAUUUCUAAUGAUUUUAGUAAGUAAUAGUCUUGGACACGUGCAACAUACGUGUAUCCUAUACUAAUUUAUAUAAAAUUAUUAGAACUAAUGAUAAAUGUAUUUUUUUAAUAGAACAAAGUUUUACAAUUAAUAGAAAUUUUUUUUUGACCUAUGAAAGUAUCCUUGCAAUGAAAACAUUUUUCUAACCUGAAGAUUUAGUUAGAGAACUGGUUGGUUAAAGUCUUAAGGUGACAAAAAAAUUAAAAAUAAAAUAUGUUAUCAAUUAACGUUAACAUCCAGCGAAAUACAUGCAACAAGUAAUAAAAGUAGCAAAAUAUAAAAAUAACAACAAUGACCUACAUACUUGAUAACAAUCCGUAUGUUCUUUGUAGAAAAAAGAAAAUACAAAUAAAAAAUUAGAAAUAAUUGAGUUAGUAAAAAUUCUUGUUGGUAUAAUAAUUUCUUCUUCCGUUAUUCAAAUCACUCCACCGUAAAAAUAAAUCACUACACGUUGACUUUUAGAUUUAAAAUCAUCAUACAUUCAUAUAUGUAAGUUUUUUUCUAUAAAUUUACAUUAACGGUAAAUAAUAAAUAUAUAAAAUCAGUUUAAUUGAACUUACUUUUUAGUUUUCCAAUGAACUAUUACACUUUCAAAAGUUGUGCAUAUGCAUGUCCAUGUGCAGAAGAAUUUACUAUAAAUUUUUUAAUGAAAAUAAUCAAAUAUUGUGAAAAUAACAAGAAAAGUGGAAGGUUGUCAAAAACAAUUAUUAGGUUAGAAGAAGAAAAAUUAAAAUAAUUAAUAUUAAUAAUUAGGUAAUUCAUAUGGUUAUAAAUGAAGUUUUUAGAGGCAAAACAUAUGUAUAAGGUACAUUACAUAUACUCAUAAUGGCUGAAAAAAUAAACUUGACUCAUUGAAAUUGUGCCACUUGUCAUUUCUGUAAGAAGUUACUUACAAAAGUACGUAAUGGACGAAAAAAUUUGUUUCACAGAUUUAGGGAGAAUUGAAUGUAGAGGGUUAAAAUAUGAUUGUUGAGAUUUCUAUUUACUCACUAUUUGUUAUUUAAUUUAAUUAUGAUUUAAUGAAGGACCGCAAAUUUUGUAAUGUGAUGAAGUUACAUUCAAUCUUUAAGUAAUUAAAAUAUGAUCGUAUAAUAUUCAAUUAAAUAUUUUAUGAUAUUUUUAUUUAUCAUUAAUUAUCACAAUGAUGUACUUGCAAUCCGACGUUAAUUCUAAAAGUUAAUACAGUAUGAUAUGAUUAAAUAAAGUCUUUAAAAAGGGACAAAAAUGUUAACUCAAGAACAAAAUAUCAUGUUUGAAUACUUAUUUUUUGAGUUGAACCUUUGUUAUGAUUUUCUACAAAAUGAAGUUAAAGUCAAUUAAUUUUAUUUUUAUUUUUAAAAACAACUAACAAAAUACUAAGAAUUGUUAUAAGUAAAAUAUAAUUUAUGAAAACAAAGAAACGCAUGUAAUAGAUAAUGUUUGAUAAAAUGACAAUUUUAUUUAUUUUCUACCUCUAAAUGAUGAAUAAAAACAAUAUGACAAUUUCACCUAUUUUUAAAAAAAAUUAUAAAAAAGUCAUAAAUCAGAACUAAAACAAAAAUCAUAUUUUGAGCUGAUACUUGUCAUCUUUUUUUUAAAAAAAAAAUGAAAUUAAUCUACUUAAUCUUAAAAAAGAAAAGAAAGACAUAUAAAAAAUGUAUUUAUACAAAUAAGGAAAUAUUUAUAGCCAAUGAGUAGGGGUGUUCGUGGUUCAGUUUGGAUCGGUAAUCAGUUAAAAUCAAAAUGAAAUCAAUCUAGUCGGUUUUUAAAAUUUAUAAAACCAAAUCAAAUCAAAAGAAAAACAUAACCGUCGGUUUGAUUACUGACUGUUUGAUUCACUUUUUCUAAUUUUUUAGUUUGAAAGUAAUAAUCUUUAAGGACAUAUGUAUCUUGAUAGGCUCAAAUACCUAUUAUAUGAAUUAUCCACUGAAAAGAUAUUGUUGGUUCCAUUAAGCAAUUAAACAAUACUAAAGUUAUUAAUACAUGAAUAAAGUGUUUGAAUUAAGAAAAGGUGUAACUAUCUUAUGAAAUAUAUGGUAGAUAAAGACUAAAGUAAUGAAUUUUGAUGCAGUUGAACUUAUGAUUGUAAUAUAUGGGCUAAAAUUUAUAUGUUGAGCUUGAGAAAAUUGCAAGUUAAAGACUUAUAUUACUUAAAAUUUAACAAAAUAUUUAUAUUUUAUUUAUGAACAAUAUAUUUAUAAAAUUUAUUGGUUCGAUUUGGUUAUUUUUACAGUUAUUUUUUAGUAAAAUUAAAGUCAAAUCAAAUAGUAUCGAUUUUCCAAAAUGCAAAAUCAAAUCUAAUCACAUCAAAUCAAAUAUCGUUUUUUUAAAAAAUUGGUUUGAUUCAUAUUGUGAUUCGACUUUAUUUCUUAACCCUAAUCAUGAACAACCCUACCGGUGAAUAUUAACAAAUAUGACAAUUUCAUUUAUUUAUAUAUUUUCUAAAAAUGGCACACAUCCCAAGUAAAUAUAAUGAUGAGUUUAUCAUUUAUAUAAUUUUAAAAAAAUGAAGUCAAAUUUCAUUUGUCUAUUUGUUUUCUAAAUAAAAUUAUAAAUUAAAAGUAAAAUAAUAUCUUUUUAUUUAAAUUCUUAGUUUAUCCUUUUUAUAUUUAAAAAUAAUGAAGUUGGAAUUACUUAAUUUUAAACAUAGAAAUAAUAAAAUAUUAAUAAGUUAUAUUUUAUAUCAUGAUAAUAAACUUAUGUUCUUAAAUUUGAUCGUAAUUAUCUCUAAUUCUUGGCUAACCUUUUGGAGUUUAAAUAUAGGGAAAAUACCCAAGUACCCCCUCAACCUAUGCCCGAAAUUCCAGAGACACACUUAUACUACACUAAUGUCUUAUUAUCCCCCUGAACUUAUUUUAUAUGUAAUUUUCUACCACUUUUUAGCCUACGUGGCACUAGUUCGAAAAAAAAAGUCAACCAUCGUUGGGCCCACAAGAUAGUGUCACGUAAGCUAAAAAGGGGUAAAAAAUUAUUAAUAAAAUAAGUUCAGGGGGGUAAUAGGACCUUAGUAUAGUAUAAGAAUGUCUCUGAGAUUUCGGGCAUAGGUUGAGCGGGUACUUGGGCAUUAUCACUUAAAAUAUAAGUUUUUCUAUACAUAUUAUUAGAGUCGUAUAUUUUUAUGAAUCAUUUUUUAUUUUCUCUACAAUUCUUAUAAAUAAUGUUAGGAUGGGUAUGCUCAUCCUCAUAAUUCAAAAAAAAUGACAGAACAAAGUUAUUUGAUUUUCAUGACACAUCUACUCGACUUGUAAGUUCUCCGAUUAUUUCUAUCACAACCUUAGAAGCCAAGAGUUGAUAUCUUAUUCUAACUUAAGAUUCUUAUGGUUUUUGAGUGCAGGAGAAUCAUGAAUUGAGGCUUUUUGUCGACUCUUUGAUCCUAGAAAGGGAAGGUUAUUUUCUUUCCAACGAUUUUAGUAAGUAUCAUUGGUAAAAAUCAUUUUAUUAAUUAAUUUAUUGAUAUUUUUAGUCAUUGUUAAAAUCUCAUUCUAACCUAAUACUCUUGUGGUUCUUGAGUUCAUGAGAAACAAGAACAGUAGGUUCUUGUCGAUUCGUUGAUCUGAAAAAUGGACGGUGAUUUUCUUUUCUGAUAAUUUUAGUAAGUACUAGUCUUGGACACGUGCAACGCACGUAUACCAUACUAAUUUAUAUUGAAUCAUUAGAAUUAAUGAUCAGUGUAUUUCUGAUAGAAUAAAGUUUUAUAUAUAACUAAUAGAAAUUUCAUUUUGAUCUAUGAAAGUAUUCUUGCAAUGAAAACAUUUUUCUAGCCUAAAGUUUUUAGUUAGAGAACUGACUGGUUAAAGGCUAAAGGUGACAAUAAAAUUAAAAAUAAAACAUGCUAAGAAAUCACGUGAACAUCCAACAAAUAAAUGCAACAAGGAAUAAAUAUAGAAAAAUAUAAAGAUAACAAGAGUGACCUACAUACUUGAUAACAGUCCAUAUAUUCAUUAUACAAAAAAAAUUAGAAAUAAUUGAGUUCGUCAAAAUUCUUAUUGGUAAAACAAUUUCUUCUUCUGCUAUCCAAAUCACUCCACCAUAAAAAAGGAAUUACUACACGUUGAGUUUUGGAUUGAAACCCCAUUACGUAUCCAUAUAUGUGAGUUUUUUUUAUAAGUUCACAUGAAUAGUAAACAAUAAAUAUAUCAAAUCAGUUUAAUCGGACUAACUUUUUAGUUUCCCUAAAAAUUGUUACACUUUCAAAAAAAUUGCAUGUCAAAAAGCAUUUACUAUAAUAAUUUAAUGAAAAUAAAUGAAAUAUUGUUAAAAUAAUAAGAAAUGCGGAAGGUUGUAAAAAACAAUUAAUAGGUGAGAAGAAGAAAAAAUUAAAAUAAUUAGUAGUAAUAAUUGAGGUAAUUCAUAUUGUUAUAAAUGAAGUAUUUUAGAGGCAACCCAUAUGUGUAAGUUACACUACGUAUGCUCAUAACAGGUGAAAAAAUAAAAUUGACUCAUUAAAGACGAAAUUGUGCAACUUCUCAUUUAUGUAAGAAGUUACUUACAAAAGUACGUAAUGAGUGAAUAAAUUAGUUUCACACAUAAAGGGAGAAUUGAAUGUGGACGAUUAAAAUAUGAUUGUUGUUGUAAAACUAAAUCAAACUAACAAUAUAAAGAUAAAGAAAAAAAUAAUAUGAGACAAGAGAUUUAGAAGAUGAAAACAAUAGAAAUAGAGAGACAAGAGAUGAGAGUUUUUCUUAUUAAUCAAAGUAUUUAUCAAAUCUUCAAGUGUAUACAAUAUGAACCCUGAAGCCUCUGUUUAUAGUGUAACAUAAAGGCAUAUAAAAGGUUAGUCAUAAACAUGACAUUAACAUAAAUAUAAUGGUGAGGUUAUGAAAGUGAAAUGUUACAAGAAUAAUGAUUAUAAAGGUGGAAGUUAUGGAGGUUAUGAUCAUCUUCAUAAUGAGGAAAAUAGUGGAGAUAAUGGGUGAGUAACUUCUUGGUAUAGUGGACAUCCACACUAUAAUAUUUUAUAACACUCCCCCUUGGAUGUACAUAGAUAAUAUGCUUCGUUAAAAUCUUACUAGGAAAAAAAAACUUGUGGGAAAAAAUCCUAGUGAAAGAAAAAUAGUACACAUAUAUUUUAAUACGCUUGAAUGUUGCAUCGUUAAAACCCUUACCAGGAAAACUCAUUUGGGACAAAACCAUUAUUAUGGAAAAGAGUACAACGCGCAUUUUUCUCCCAUGAUAAAAACUUUACUUAAUAUCUCGGAGACGAUGCAUUCCGAUCUUAUAUCAGAACUUCUCAAAUAUUGAUGUUGGUAAUUCUUAGUGAAUAAGUUUACAAGAUUAUCACUUGAAUGAUCCUUUGAACGUCUAUCUCAUUGUUUUGUUGAAGAUCGUGUGUGAAAAAGACUUUAGGUGAAAUAUGUUGUGUCUGAUCUCCUUUGGUUGUAUCCUCCAUUCAAUUAAACUAUAAUUUUUUUCGUAUAUAGUGGCUGGAAUAUCCUUUGUCAAAGGAAAAUUUCAUAUUUUCUGAAUAUGAUAGAUUAUGAUUCCAAUCCAACACACCCCUGACUUACUUCAUUGAUCUAUAUGACUUGAAAAAGUGGUUACAAAUGUUUGUUGAAUGCCAAGAUAUUGUUGUGCCUUCAUAUGUAAGCAAAUAGCUCAUUUACAAUCGAGCUUUAUGAAGAUAAAAUAAAUAUUUUGCUGCAUAAUCAAACCAUUUUUUACUCAUUGGAGCUUGAUCAAUUUCGAAGAAACUCGUCUUUCUUCUCAAAGACAGUCAUACAUCUUCAACCAUUUGCAUAACCAACAAUUUGUAAGUGCACUAAUAGCACUAAUACAUAACAUUUUAAAUCAUUUUCUUGAAAUUAAAAGAUCCUUUAUUUGUGUUAUGCAAUCUCAAAAUCACUGAAUACUCAAUGGAAUUGCUUUAAGACCUUUUAAAUCCUUCAAGGAUUUUCAUAUAACCUUCAUCGUUUAGUUAGACAUAAUAAUCAUUCAUUAUGCAUAUUCAAGUAUUUCAUAACUUGCCAGAUUGAAGCAAGUAUCAUUGCAUUCAACAUUGGAGAAUAUAUCUCCAUUUAAUAAUGUCAGGACUUCUGCGAAAAUUCUUCAUGCCCCGAGGCAUGAACAAUACUUUAUAUCUUACAGUUAUACUUUCGCACAAUGAUUCAUUUGUACCCCCAAUGAUAUAUAUUUUUAUCUAUAGACCAUAUUUUCAAAAGUAUCACUUUUCUAAGUGAAACAAAAUAUAUUUGAAUAGUGUCAACCAUUUAUCCGUCCAUACUAUAUGACAGAUUUGAAUUUAAGAUCCUUGUAACCAUUUAUAGCAUUGAGUGCUACAUCAUAUCAAAUAUACUUUCGACGAUCGUUUUGAUUUCAAUUCUAAUACGACAUAACUUAUCGAGAUAUCUUCAUUUUUCAUCAUUUUCAGGUAUCUGAACCUUAGUUAAGAUUUUAUGAAAUGGUAUGUCAUAGUGCUCUUUCAAAGCACUUACCUCAUUAUCAAUGACCAUUUUGAUAAUUUACUCAUCUCCUUCCACAAGAAGUUUUACAUUUGGAAUCGAUUGGUAAAUCACGCUUUUGGCGUACCAUUGACUCGGUCCUUUAAGGACUAUUUAUUGGAGCAUUUACAACAUACUUAAAAUAUUGGAUCAGCAAAUACAUCUGGCAAAUUACUUGCAACAUUUUGCAUAUGAAUUGUCUCUUGAACUUCAAGUUCACAUUUUUUUCAGCGAGGGUAGAGAUAAUUCACCUCACACAUAAUUUUAAGCUGCUACACAUAUCUCCCCCUAAUGUUAGAAAAUCUAACAUUCACCCUCAACCUCAAUUGGGUACCCAUCUUUAUGCAUGGUGGAGCAAUAAAAUCAUAUGUGCACAUGUCAAAUUUUUAGAUGGAAAUUAUUGGUUCCUAACCCUGAACCAAUUGUGUUGAGAAAACAUUGUUGGCUUGAUGCUACAUGUUACAUAAACAUAUCUCAUACCAAAUUUUAUUUGAGAGAUUUGUUCUCAUAAUCAAUGGUCUAGCAAUAAUUGGAGGCAUACAAUUUCUGCUAAACCAAUCAGUAUUAUCAACAUGACGUUAUAGUUUGAAAAUGUGUUCUUAAUAAUUUGAGCGAACAUUCUAACAAAAAUCAAUUUGUAAGUUGAUUCAAAUGCACAUGUGAUAAUACCAUAGAUGCAUCUAUUAAAUCAUAAUAGUAAACGGUCCACAUGGCAGGUGAACGGGCCCAUAUUCACCUUUUUAUAUGUUCCAAAUAAUUUUAGGGGACACAGUCUCAACCUUAGGUGGUACAAUGAUCAUUUUAUCACGAGAACAAUAUGCAAAAGAGAAAUCUUGAAGAAUCUUUUAUUUCUUCAACAUAUAGCCACGUGAAUUCUCAAUUCUCUUGUAUCACAUUUGAAUCGGAAUGACCAACCUACUAUGCCAACUGGUAUUUAUUCAAGUAAACUUCUAGUUUACUUUUGCAUGUGAUUCCAUCACCAUGCUCGUAUUUGUAUACAACAAACAACAGGGGAAAAUGGAUAAUCUUAUACGUGAAUAUUUAUUACCCACUUUGAUUGUAGUAAUUGAAGAUAUGAAAUCUUUCCAUAAUUUAUAGUCUCAAUACAAUAAUUUGUUUUUAAUUCUUCUUAAACUUAAAAAGUUUCUUUUGAGACUUACUACAACCCCAAUAUUAUGAAUAAUUUUAUUCCUCCAAAUGGUAACAAUUAGCCCUUUCGAAAUUAUCAAUUAAUUUUGUGUACUACCAUAAUUUUCACAAUGUCAUUCUUAUGGUGACCAUCUCCUUCAAAGAGAAAAUUUUUAUUAUUGUCGUGAUUAAAAUUAUUACAUUUAAGACUUAUUUCUUGAUAACCAAUCACAAAUUUGUGUUGCCACACAACAACAUUUAUUUUGAUCAUGGCCACAACGUUUAUAGAAAAAGAUUUAUUCUUUCUUUUGUCUCAUUUUAAAAUAUACGACAAUAUUUGUGUAGUAUUCAAAGUAUAUAUAUGACCAAAAUGACUAUUUAUGUCAAAAUAUUUUCUUUCAUCUCUCAAACUUCCCGUAGAGGUGAGAUGUGACAUUCAUCAAACAAUACAUGAACAUGUUUUUAUCCAUACGAAAACAAGUCACAUUUCUUUACAAAAUGGACCAUAAUCAUUUGUACAUGUUCCAUAAGUUUUUAUUAGAAACUCAUUGUCAUGUUUUGACAUUAUGUAUAUGUAACAUUCCGGAAAAUUACAUGUCUAGUGAAGAUCCCAAUAGGUCUUUAAGAGUGCGUAUUGGGGAUACAUAGGCAUUCCAAUGCCCAAUAUUGAGAAAUAUUAGGCAUAGUAUAGAAAAUUGGCUAAGGGGUAUUAGGCAAUUUUUAUAUAAUAUCCAAGUAAGCAAAAUAUUGAGCAUAUUAAAAAAUAUUGGCUUAAAGGGUGUUAGCCAUUUUUUUCUUAAUAUUAAUGAGCAACUUUUAUCAUACUGUGCUCUCCAAAGAGCAACUCUUCUCAAAAUCUCACUCAAAGGGUGCUGAGAAAUGUACCUGCAAUGAAGAUCCUAAGCUAAAAACAUAGAUUUUCCAACAUUUACACAUUAGGUGUGAGGCAUUCAUGUGUCAAGCCAAGGCACCAUAGCACAUGACCAUUUAAAAUGGGCAUGUAGAUUAAGCAGUUCUCAAGGACAUAUUGAAAAUCCUUGGGACAAUAAGUACACAUUCCAAAUGAACCAUCAAGAAUAGUUAGUUAGGAAAGUACAAGCAACACAUGUGAAAAAAUGGCAAACGGAGGAGUAGUUAGGGGGCAGGCGUGCACAAGGGUUCCAACAUGUGGGGCCCAGAUCUCUAACAAACUCUACACUUUAACUAACUGACCUUACUAGCUAACUAAACUAGGAAAAACAAAAAUAAAUUAUCUAGUACACUCGACAACCUAAGACCUAAUUGGAAGACACUAACCUAGUAACUAGUUAAAGAGACAACCUAGUACCUAACCUAGGAUAGUCCAAAGGGUUAGCUAUGAUCCUAACGACUUAAGGGUACUUUAGUAAUUACCCUAGGUCACCUAAUUAAUUAAAUUAGUGUUAGUGAAAAAACUUAAAAGAUAAUAAAAUUGCAAGAUUACAAUUGAAAAUAAAAUAAAGAAAGUAAUCUCUUCAGGCUGAGGCGCGGAUAUCUCGCUCUCUUUAAGGAGAUUCAAGCCCACUGCAACAAAUGUUUUCACUGGUCCAGCAGUAGUCCUCUUUGACUUGUACCCUCCAGGAUACAACAGCCUUCACAAAGUAUAACUCAACAACUCUGGACAAGAGUUGAGUCCAAAGCUCCACAAAAAAGAACACCUCCCUUCAACUAAUAAGAACUAUCUUUUAGGCUAACUCUUUCAUUCUUUGUUUUCUCUUGUGUUUUGUGUGUCUCUAAAACCAAAUGAAGACUACCACUAUUUAUAGUACAAGAAGUCUUCCUAGCAAUGAAUAGUAAGAUAAUGGAGGUAGUAAAUAGUGAAGAUAAUGACCUUAGGAGUUUCAUAGGUUACAAUGGGAGUUAUAUAGGUUACAAUGGGAGUUACAUAGGUUACAUAAGUUACAAUAGGAGUUACAUAGGUUACAAAGAUUAAUGGAGGAAUUAAGAAUGAAAUACAUUGAUGGAUAACCAAUGCUAAUGGAUAAUGUAGAAGUUAUCCAUUCCAAUGUUCAUUCUUAUAACUCCAAAAUAAAGCAAUUUAAUAUGUUAAAUAUUAAUAUUAAAAUGCUAAUAACCUAACAAUCCCCCACUCAUUUUAAUAUUUAGAUAAAAGAGUAUAUCAGUUGAAGGAAGACUACUAUGCAUAAUGAAGGUGUGCUCUGCAUUGAACCUCCACUUAGUGAAACAGUAACUUUUACUCCAGAGUCGUAGUGGUCUCAGACUUGAACUAUGACUGCUUAAGAGAAAUAAAAUAUCACUGCUCACACAUAAUAAUCAAGGUGUUGAUAUGAGCUUUAACAGCCAGCACGUUAUGGCCAUGUGUUAUCCCAGUUUCAUGAGUGCAUUUGAGAAUAAGCCCCAUUCUCAUAGGAAGCGAUCUACUUCCACACAUCACAUAGGUGAAAUCUGUCGAGAGUGCUCCGCUAAGAUUAACACACUCCACCCAUACGGGCUACAGAUACUCAUUAAGUGUUUUAUCAACUCAACCUUCACAAACUACAGGAAAUAAUGCACUCACAUCAUAGGGAGGGGAAAAAAUAGUGCAUUUUUCACAACAAGUCAACAUAUGAUUAGUUUUUCUCUUUGAAACUGGUUAUAGGAUCUCUAGUCCCCAGGUUAGGUUUCCUCAUAUAUGACUCAAGGAUUUGUAGGCUUCAAUCCCAUCCCCCUCGAUGUGCUCCAGACCUUUUCUCUUGUUAAGGCCUUCGUAAGAGGAUCUGCAAGAUUAUCACAAGAUUUGGCAUAAUCAACAUUUAUGGUACCAUUUGUCAAAUACGAUCUUGCAUUACUGUGUUUCCUUCUUAUAGGUCUGGAUUUACCAUUGUAAUAACGGUUUUGAACUCUACCAAUUUCAGCGGUGCUAUCACAAUGAAUUAAAAUAGGAGGAAUUGGUUUUUCAAAAUAAGGAAUUUGAAACAAUAAAUCUCUUAACCAAUUCGCUUCCUCAGUAGCUGAAGCUAAAGCAAAUAGUUCAGCCUCCAUGGUAGAGUUAGCAAUUAUAGUUUGCUUUUUUGAUCUCCAACAAACAGCACCACCACCUAAAGUAAAGACAUAACCAAUGGUAGAACAGGAAUCACCUGCCAAAGUGUUCCAAUCGGCAUCACAAAAGCCUUCAAGUACAGCAGGAUAUUUUUUAUAGAACAAACCACAAUUUUUCGUUCCAAUUAAAUAUCUCAUAACUCUUGUUAUAGCAUGCCAAUGUUCAUUGCCUGGCUUGCUUGUAAACCUGCCAAGUACUCCUACUGCAUAUGCAAUAUCAGGCCUAGUGCAAUCAGUCACAUAUCUCAAACUUUCGAUUAUACUAGCAUAUUCCUUUUGAUUUAUUACAUCAUUUUCACUUUCAACAGGAAAUAAGUGAACACUUGAAUCAAACGGAGUAGCAACAUGCUUGCAAUCAUGAAAGUUAUAUUUUUUAAAAAUUUUCUCAAAAUAAUGUGACUAGUCAAGGAAAAUCCCCUCACAUGUUCUUGUUAUUUUUAUUCCAAGAAUAAAAUUUGCCUCACCAAGAUCUUUCAUAUCAAAAUGGCUUCUAAGAACAUUUUUAGCUUCAUCAAUAACAUUCAUGUUAGAGCCAAAGAUCAACAAAUCAUCAACAUAUAGGCAAAUAAUCACAUGGGAAUUAUUCCAAGACUUAUGGUAUAUGCACUUAUCACACUCAUUUGUUUUAUAGCCAUUUUCAAUCAUGCAGGAAUCAAACUUUUCAUGCCAUUGCUUUGGUGCCUUUUUCAAGCCAUAUAGGGAUUUAGUAAGUUUACAUACUUUACUUUCUUGGCCUGCUUCAACAAAACACUCGGGUUGGUCCAUAUAAAUUUCUUCAUUUAAGUCUCCAUUUAGAAAAGCAGUUUUUACAUCCAUUUGAUGAAUUUGCAAAUCAAAAAUUGCAGCCAUAGCAACUUAAAGUCUAAUGGAUGUAAUUCUUGUUACCGGAGAAAAAGUAUCAAAAAAUUCUAGGCCUUCUAGUUGUUUAAAAUCUUUUGCAACUAGCCUAGCUUCGUAUUUAUCAAUAGAUCCAUCCGGUUUCAACUUUUUCCGUAAGACACAUUUACAACCAAUUGUUUUACAACCCGGUGGUAAAUCAACUAAUUUCUAAGUUUUAUUAGAAAUUAGAGAUUCCAUUUCAUCAUUUACAUCCUCUUUCCAAAAAAUAGAAUCAUGUGAAGAUAAUGCUUCUUUCAAAGUUAGAGUGUCAUUUUCAACAUUAAACACAUAAAAAUCAGGACCAAAAUCUUUUUCUACUCUAGCUCUUUUACUUCUUCUUAACUCAAAAUCAACAACUUCUUUAUUUUUCAAAGUUGAAGUAGAAGAACUAGGUAGUAACAAAAUAUUUUGUUCAAUCCUUUGACCCCCACUAUUUUUAAUAUCAAAAGGAAAUUUAUUUUCAUGAAAAAUAGCAUCACCAGAUUCUAUUACAAUAUUAUCUUCAAGAUUAAAAAAUCUAUAGGCUGUACUAUUUGAAGCAUAACCAAGAGAAAGCACAAGUAGUAACUUUCUUACGCAACUUUGUAAUCUUGGGAUCCAUUAGCCUCACAAAGGCUAGACAACCCGAAACUCUUAGAUAUCCCAAACUUGGCUUGUAACCUUUCCACAAUUCAAAAGGUGUCAAUUUAGACUUUUUAUGAGGCACACGAUUCAACACAUAACAAGCAGUUAAGAUAGCUUCACCCCAAAAAUUUAAAGGUGCAUGUGAUUCAAUAAGCAUGGCGUUAGUCAAUUCAACCAAAGUUCUAUUUUUCCUUUCCGCUACUCCAUUAGACGAAGGAGAGUAAGGAUGAGUAGUUUCAUGAAUUAUUCCCAAUGAUCUAAUAAAAGAAUUAAACUCAUUUGAUUCAUAUUCACGGCCUCUAUCACUUCUAAUUCUUUUUAUUUUUCUUCCAAACUGAUUUUCAACCUCAUUUAGAUAAGUUUUGAAAUUUUCAAAAGCAUCACUUUUAUUUUUCAUCAAGUAAACAUAUGUAAACUUAGAAAAAUCAUUAAUUAAAGUGAUAAAAUAUCUAUUACCUCCACAAGUUAGAAUUCCACCAAGUUCACAAAUAUCAGUAUGAACUAAUUCUAACAAAUCAGUUUUUCUUUCAACUUGAAAAUGAGGCCUUUUAGUGAUCUUGGCUUUACUACAAGCCUCACACUUUUCAAAAUUCUUUUUAACCAUUGGGAUUAAUCCUAAACUACUCAUGAUUCCAACAUAACGAUCAUUAAUAUGACACAAACGAGCAUGCCAAAAAUUAGUAGAAGAAAGCAUAUAAACAAAAGUAGAAGUUUUAUUCAUUUCAACAUUCAACUUAAACAUCUCAUCACAUGCAUACCCCUUCCCCACAAAAAUACCUUUCUUCACUAUUACAUAUUGAUCAGAUUCAAUAAUCUGUUUAAAGCCUGCUUUAUUAAGAAGAAAACUAGACAUCAAAUUUUUUUCUCAUAGAAGGAGUAUAAAGUACAUCUUUCAAUGUUAAUAUCCUUCUAGAAGUAAAACACAAUUCAACAUCUCCCUUUCCAAGCACUUGAGUAGUGUGAGCAUCACCAAGCAUGAUGGUUUUGGGCUCCUCAAAAUGAGUAUAUUUUUUAAACCAGUCUUUGUCAUAACAGACAUGACGGUUUGCACCAGAAUCAGCCCACCAUCCAUCAACAUUCUCAACCAUGUUUUUAUCGGUAAUCACCGCCACAAAAGGUUCUUCGGUAACGUUUGCCUGAGGAUUAGGACCACGUUUCUGGAAUUUGUAAAAUCGAGCAAUAUGCCCACUCUUGCCACAAACAAAGCAUGGUCCCUUUUCUUGAACUUGUUGAUUUUGUGCUUGGUGAUUUUCACCAUUAUUUUUCUUGAUAGGUCUACCAUUAUUUUUCUUGAAUUUUUUCUUCUUAGGAUUUAAAGAAGUAUUUUUAUGAGUUUCAGGAUUAGCAUUAUUCAAAGUUAUUAAAUUUACCUUCGAUGUGAUGUUGUUCUCUUCUGUUUGUAAAAGUGCAUCUUGGCCUCUUGCUUCUUUUUCCAUGCGAAUUUUCAUUAUCAAGGUUUCAAGAAAGGUUUCCUUUUGUUUAUGGCGCAUAGUUUUUUGAAAUUCCUUCCAAGAAGGUGAAAGUUUAUCCACUAUGCCACAAACAAUAAGGUUAUCUCCAAUUUUAACCUCUUCGGACCUAAGCUCUCCAACAAUCAUGACGAAGUCUUGAGCUUGAUCUACCACUGAUUUGUUGUCCACCAUUUGGACACGAAAAAAUCUACUAGCUGCAUAUUUUUUCGCUCCAGCCUCUUCGGUAUCAUACUUACUCUGCAAAGCCUUCCAAAUUUUCUUUGCACUAGAGUAAGUUCUAUCAUAAUAAUCAUAAAAAUUAUCAGAUAGACAAUUAAGAAGAUAAUACCGACACUUAUAGGAAUCACCAUCGUACUUUUCCACUUUCUCUAGAUGAGAAAUAGUUUCAUCAUCAUUCAUAGUGGUGAUGUCUUCUUUAUUUGGAUUCUUCUCGGUUAAAACGUAAGAAACAUUGAGAAGACUUGAGUAGAAAAGUACUUUACCCUUCCAUCUCUUGAAAUGGUUACUAUUGAACCGAAAUGGCUUGUUAAGAUCUCCCAUAUUGACAUCCGCGGUUUUUUCAACUGUAGCCAUCUUUGAAUCUCCUUAAAAUUGUUGGUGAAUAAACUUACAAGAAAAUAAAAUUGCAAGAUUACAAUUGAAAAUAAAAUGAAGAAAGUAAUAUCUUCAGGCUGAGGCGCGGAUAUCUCUCUCUCUUUAAGGAGAUUCAAGCCCACUGCAACAAAUGUUUUCACCUGUCCAGCAGUAGUCCUCUUUGACUUGUCUCCUCCGGGAUACAACAGCCUUCACAAAGUAUAACUCAACAACUCUGGACAAGAGUUGAGUCCAAAGCUCCAUAAAAAAGAACACCUCCCUUCAACUAAUAAGAACUCUCUUUUAGGCUAACUCUUUCACUCUUUGUUUUCUCUUGUGUUUUGUGUGUCUCUAAAACCAAAUGAAGACUACCACUAUUUAUACUACAGGAAGUCUUCCUAGCAAUGAAUAGUAAGAUAAUGGAGGAAGUAAAAAGUGAAGAUAAUGACCUUAGGAGUUUCAUAGGUUACAAUGGGAGUUACAUAGGUUACAAUGGGAGUUACAUAGAUUACAUAAGUUACAACGGGAGUUACAUAGGUUACAAAGAGUAAUGGAGGAAUUAAGAAUGAAAUACAUUGAUGGAUAACCAAUGCUAAUGGAUGAUGUAGAAGUUAUCCAUUCCAAUGUUUAUUCUUAUAACUCCAAAAUAAAGCAAUUUAAUAUGUUAAAUAUUAAUAUUAAAAUGCUAAUAACCUAACAAUUAGUAAUUUAAUUAAUUAAUUUAAAUGGUCAAAUCGAAAUCCUUACACUAGACAAGGAACUAACUAAGAAACAUCCUAGUACCUAAUCUAGGAUGGUCCAAAAGGGUUAGUUAUGGUCCCAAUGACUUAGGGGUAUUUUAUUAAUUACCCUACGUCCCUUGAUUAAUUAAAUUAAAUGAUUAAUUUAAGAAAAAUUUCCAAGUAAGGCCGAAAUUCUUUGAAAAAAUUUCAGAUAUGACUUAUUAAAUAUUUUCUUAUUUCUAGUCCCUCGAUUUCUCUUAGGAGAUUUCAAGGUUUUCUUCAAGAUUUCGUGCAAGGUGAUCUUCGUAGAUUUAAUUCUACAUAAGUUAUGGGUUUUAUCUCAUUUAAUUCUUUUUCCAAGAGACUUUUCAAACGUUUGAAUUCAUGAACUUCGAAACUAAGGUUGUACCCCAAUGAUAUUGUUGAACGUUCAUCUCCCUAGUUAUCCUUGUUUUCGAUUCUUUAAGUAUAUAGAUGUAUCUUGAACAUGUUGUUGGUAUGUGGUGCUAACUGAUUUUAUAAGUUCUUGAAUUGUUAAUGACUAACGAGGUCUAUAGAUUGGAUUCAAAUGAUUUGAGUGUUAGUUACACGAAUUAAGGAAUGAUAUAAUGCUUACUUGUGUUUCGAGAAUAUGAAGUUACUAUGAAUCGGCUAUGGAAUUUAGUUAUUGUUAAAAUGUUAAGUUUUCGACUGAUUCAUGUUGGGGAAUCAUUAUAUUACAUUCAUGAUAUUAAUUGAUUUUUUUAGUGAUAACAUAAUGAAUGUUGUUUAAGUGAAAGUUUGAUUUAUGCUAAUAAAAUGGCUAACAAUGUCUUGCCCAAAAAGUUGAAUGAAAUUGGCUUGCAAUAUUGCUUUCAGAAAGAGUGGCUAAUGUAAACCCAACUAAGCAUGACUAAUGUAACUUUGAUUUCAUAACCAAGGGUAUGUCAAUCAUUGGGAUAAGUCCCAACAUACCCUUUCCAAAUGAAAUAUGAACAUAGUAACUACAUUGAACAAAGAUCUUAACGUUUAUAAAGAAUGAUAUAAAGCUAUCAAAAGACAUGAAACGAGUUAAGGUGAGUAAUAACAUAAUUAAAAGUCUUUAAAUUACGAAGGUGACCAGAAUGAGUUGUUAAAGAAAGUGAGACAAGUCUCACGCCUGCCCCCUAACUACUUUAAAAAAGAAAAGAAGGACAUAUAAAAAAUGUAUUUAUGCAAAUAAGGAAAUACUUAUAGCCGGUGAAUAAGGGUGUUCGUGGUUCAGUUUGGAUCGGUUAUUGGUUAAAAUUAAAAUGAAAUCAAUCUAGUCGGUUUUUAAAAUUUCUAAAAUCAAACCAAAUAUGCCCUUUAACUGGCUUCGAAUCAUAUUUGUGUCUUUCAAGUUUGGGUGUGCACAAGUAGACAAUUAAACUUGUAUAAAGUUGAAAAAAAAGACACACAUAUCUCGUACAUGUCAUUUUUUGUCUUACACGGUGUUUUACGCGUAUUUUGUCAUGUAGGACUCAUGUGUUUAUUUAUUUAAAAGUUGAAUAGUUAAAUUGUCUGUUUGUGCAUUAUGAAAGGUAGAGGACAAAGUUAAAAUUUGAAGCCAAGUUUAUGAUCUAAUAUAUGUAUUAUGCUAAUAACUUUUGAAGACAUAUGUAUCUUGAUAGACACAAGUACCUAGUAUAUGAAUAAUUCAAUGCAAAGUUAUUGUUGGUUCAAUUAAGCAAUUAAACAAUACUAAAGUUAUUAAUACACGAAUAAAGUGUUUCAAUUAAGAGAAGGUGUAACUAUCUUUAAAGAAAUGUGAUUUGCCGGAAUAAUCAUGACUUUUCACAUGGUAUACAAAAUAUACUUCUUCGUGGUACUCUUUGUUGACUAUAAACUACUCUUCUUUUUCUUGCAUUUUAAUUUUUUUUUGUUAAAUAUAGACAAUCAAAUAACUAUCUUUGAUUUUGUGUACAUAAGCAAUUGAAAAGUCAAAUAUGAGAGCCAACAACAAAAAUAUCAUGUACUAUUUUAUAACUUAUAAAAUAAAAAUUAAUUUGUACCAAAAAUAGUUUUAAAAAAUAAUACAUAGCUACUAUCUUAACAUGUUCAUAUGACAUUUAAACAAUCUGACAUGAAAAAAAACGUAUAAGACACAUUUUGUUAGAUGACAAGAAAAAUGCACAACAAAUAUCGUCUAUAAGGUACUAUUAUUGAAAUACGACUAAUUACAAGAUUGAGCCUAAACAUAAACAUUAUUGUAUUUAACUAAUAAAAAAUUUCAUAAGUUCGCAUAAAUAAGAUAUAUAUAUAUAUAUAUAUAUUGAAUACGUGUUGUACAAGUUUGACCCAAAAACUCUUUCACAAGUGUUGACCAACUCGAUCAUUUGAAUAUACUUAAAUAGAACUAUAAAUCAUAUUUCCUCCGAUCUAUUUUAUGUGAUAUUUUUUGAAUUUUAAAAUUUAAAUAAAUUUAUUUUUAUUCAUAAAUUUUUUGUAAAUUUUUUAAAUAUUUUAAAUUAUCAAUAUUAUAAAUUAUAGUAUUUUAUUUACGUAGUUUAUAAAUAUAUAAAUUUAAUUUUAGAAAAUAAAAAUUGUAUGAGUAAAUUUUCGAUCAAACUUAAAUUGUUCUCUAAAAAUAAAAAAUAAAACAUAAAUUAAAACAAAGAGAGUGAAUAAUUAAAAAUCCCGCUAGAAAUAGCAAAAGUUAAAGCUAAGAGUUGUAAGAAAUGAGUAAUAAAGAAAAAUCCCUAUUGGAUCUUCCAUCUCCAAUCUUAUUACAAAUUCUCUCAACAUUACCUCCUACCACACUCUUAUACGUCAAAAUCGUCUCCAAAACUCUUCUAAACCUAAUCUUAGAUUCCGAAUUUUUAAAAUUGUCACGUUCAGUAUCUCCAGCUACCAUUAUCAUCCACCAAUUUAACUCUAAUAGGACCAACACGUUAAAGAUUUUGAAAUUCGCAGUCGAUUAUAACUUUGAUCAUGAUUCAAAUGUUCACCUUGAUCUGCAACUUUACUUUCCUGUUGAUCUAGUUUUCCUAGUUGGAUCUGUUCAUGGAUUUGUCUGUUUUAAUUACUUUUUCGGUAAUGUUGAUGGUAUUUACAUCCUCAAUCCAACAACAAGAGAAUAUAUCAUCCUUCCUGAACCACAACGGGUAAGAAAGUGGCCUAAUUUAGUUACUUAUGGCUUUGGUUUCGAUCCUGUUAGGUUCGAGUACAAAGUGGUCAGAAUUUACCAAGAGGAGAUUCGCGAUAGUGAUACUAAUGGUUUUCGUUAUUAUAAGUCUGAAGCACAAUUUUACACAAUUGGGAAAUGGUAUUGGAGAAGUAGUGUAGAACAUGUCAUGUUCUGUUUUGGAUGCAGGGCAUAUGGGGUGAAUCUAUAUGGAAGGAUUCAUUGGUUGGUUUCUGAUGCUAAUGGAAAUGAGUUAAUAUGUUCGUUUAAUUUGGAGAAUGACUUGUUUGAAUCAUUCCCAACUGCUCCAGGUUACACAUGACUUGUUUAUGUGUGUGUGAUAAUAAUGCGGAUACUCAUUUUGGGAGUUUUUGGACGUUGUUUAUGGGUGAUGUUACUGAUUCAUGGGCUAAAGAGAUUGUGAUAAACAUAACUCCUGAAUACAACGAUUGGUUGUGCUAUGAAAUGAUUAAUGUGUUGAAAGUUUUUGAAGAUGGAGAGGUGUUGUUCUUGUGGCGCAAUGAUUUCUUAUUCUUGCACCAUCCUGUGAAGAAAACUUUAAAAUCGCUGGAUAUCCGUGAAGGGAACUUGUUGGCAUGUGGGCAUGUAUCAAGUUCUUUAUCUCUCAAGAAUUUCGAAGCAGAAGUUGUGAAUGUCUUCUAGAUUAUUGUCAAAGGUGUGUACUGUACAACUUGAGUAUACUUUUUUUUUGUUACUAUUCUAUGUUGUGAAGGUCUUUUAGAAGCAUGUAUUUUGUACUACUAAAAUAGAGUAUAUUUGAUGGGAAAGUUGUGCAUACAAAUCUGCAAGUAAUAUAUGAUAGUUAAACUAUUUCUUAACAGUUCAGUUUAUUUAUAUGACCGCACUAAAACCAAGUAGCAAAACUGUGUUUUCCUCUGUCUGUUUCUCUGUGUAGGACUGUAAGUAUAUUAGUUAGAAUUUAUUUAAUUGAUAGUUGAAUUAUUAAAUACAACUAACUGUUUAUGGGUUUGUGUUAAUAGUUUAUUAAUCAUACACAAGAAAUUAAAAAUUGAUUCAUUUAAAAGAGGGGGAAAUAGACAAUAAUUCAUUUGUAAGAAAUGGGUGAUGAAGAAAAAUCACUGAUGGAUCUUCCAUCCCCAAUCUUGUUACAAAUCAAAACCCUCUCCAAAUCUUAUCUAAAUUAACCUUAGAUUCCGAAUUUUUAAAACUAUCACGUUCAGCAUCUCCAACUAGCAUCAUCAUCAACCAAUUCAACUCUUUUUGGAUUAACAGCUUAAAGUUGUUGAGAUUCGAUUGUGUCGAUAAUAAUUGUGAUCAUGAUCCACAUGUUGACCUUCAUCUGCGACUUUCCUUUCCAAUAGAUCCAUUUUUCCUCAUUGGAUCGUAAUAACAGAUAGUAUUAAAUAAAUAGUAUUAUAUAAUAUUAGUUUUUACUGUGUACUAAUUCAAGUCCUAUUAGGAUUAGUACUCCUUAAUCCUAGUCCUAUUAGGAUUAGUACUCCGUCCUAUGUCUCCUAUAUAUAUCUCUCAUGUAUUCCCUUAUUAGGUUAAUAGUUCAAUACAAUCAAUAUUUCUUCAUGGUAUCAAGAUCCAGAAAACCUAGAUCUUCUUUUCUCUAGGUUUUUUUUUUUCUCUCUUUAGGGCACCGAUCGUUCCCGCUCUUCUCUUGGGCGGCGGCAACCAUGACAACCGAGGUGGAUCCUCUCGAUUCACUUCCUUUUGGCAUUAAACUCCUCUCAGGCAUCUUCAUGCCCUCAUUCCCGAAAAAUUAUCAGACAUAAAUUACCCUACAUGGAAAAUCACCGUUCUUACAGCCCUUGAGGCCAAUUGCCUUCUCAAAUACGUCGAUGGAAGCACAGAACCGCCGCCGGCAGUCAUCACCGCCACGGACAAAUAAAAAAAACAAUCCGGCCCAUGCCGCCUGGAAAGUUGUGGAUGGCCAGAUCUGAUCAUGUUUUAUUGUGGUCAUCUCUCCCACGGUUCAGAAACACGUCCGAUCCUACAUAACUGCUUCAGCCCUGUGGACGGCCCUAGCAACACGCUAUGCAUCAAUUUCCCACUCUCAUAUUUUUCAAUUGCGUGAUCGUCUCCACACAAUUACCAAAGGCACGAAAACUAUGGCGAAGUAUUUAGACGAGGUCUCCACCAUCAUCACAGCCCUUGACACCGUGAACAAAAUCAUUCCCGAAAAAGAUCUUGUCAUGUGCGUCAUUCGGGGGCUUCUAUCAGCUUACUCCUCCAUUAAACAGGCGGUUUGCAUCAGUCCAAUGCCCGUUGACCUGGCUACUCUCUCCUCGUGGCUAAAAAGUGAAGAAAUUAACGUGGAUCUGGAGAGCAAACUUCUUCUUCGAGAAGCCGCUGUUAUGGAGCCGGCCACCGCCCUCACCGCAAGCCAGAACUAUCACGGGGGGCGUGGUGGCGGCCGGCUAUGGAAGAAACAGCGAAGGCCGCGGGCGCGGCGGUCGGCAGGGCAGUCGUCCGAUGUACGACGGUCAGCAGCACGACAGCAAUAACAGCCUGCACUCCUUCGGCAGCGGUGGGCAGUCAUCUUCCAGCGGCGGGCAGGGCACUUACGAGCGGGAUUGUCCAACUUGUCAAAUCUGUCAGAAAAUAUGACACACCGCUGCUAGUUGCUGGUUUCGGUAUGAGGAGAGUCGAAAUAGUGAUAACCGUGCCAAUUAUGCAUCUCAAGCCGGCCCUUACUCUGAAUGGCUGUUGGAUACUGGGGCCAACAUGCACGUUACUUCUGAUCUAUCCAAGCUUAACGCUCCAAAUCCAUAUCAUGGCUCCAAUGGUAUUACUGUUGGAAACAGUGAGUCCCUUAAUAUUUCUCACACUGGCACGGGUACCAUUAAAACCCCCACCGCUAUCUUUCACCUAGGUAACCUUACCCACGUCCCUUCUAUUAAAACCAAUCUCCUUUCAGUUCACCAAUUCACAAAAGACAAUAAUUGCUCACUCUUGUUCACCUCUAAUAAUUUUCACAUCCUAGACAAUACUACCAAGAGGUUGAUUUUUCAGGGCCCCUGUGAGCAUGGUCUGUACGUUCUUCCUGGCACAAGUUUGUCUGCCCACCCAGUUUUAGAAAGCGUUCUUGUGGUUCCGGUGGCUCUUUCGGCUGAUGGCCACAGUCUGUUGUGGCACAGUCGUCUGGGUCACCCGUUUACUCAAAUAAUAAAUUCUUUAAUGUCUCAAUUAGGUUUUUCUUCCAUUCAUGUAAACAAUUGUGACUCCUGUUCAAUUGCUAAAUCUUAUAAAUUACCUUUUACUUUAUCUGAGAAGCGUACAACUGCACCUUUUCAACUUAUUCAUUCUGACCUAUAAGGUCCUACUGCUGUUCCUUCAUUUACUGGUUUUCGCUAUUAUAUUUGUUUUGUGGUUGAUUUUACAAAAUACACUUGGUUGUACCCACUAAAACACAAAUCACAGGCAUACACCACCUUUGUCACUUUUGAAAAAAUGGUCAAAACACAAUUCAAUUCUCAUGUUAAACUUUUUCGAAGUGACAAUGGAAAGGAAUAUGUAAAUAACAUAUUUGGCCAGUUUCUGCAAUCCCUUGGAAUUAUACAUCCAACCUCUUGUCCAUACACUCCCGAACAGAAUGGGGUGGCUGAGCGUAAGCAUCGCCAUCUCAUUGAAAAGGUGGUUACUCUUCUACAUUAAUUUCAUCUCCCUGUCUCCUUUUCGGUAGAAGCUCUAGCCACCGCAAACUACCUCAUUAACAGAAUGCCCAGUCACACCCUCUCCAACAAAUCACCCUAUCAACUCCUUUACCAAGAACUUCCCAAUUAUACCAACCUCUACGUCUUUGGGUGCCUUGCCUACCCUUGGCUACGCCCUUAUAUUACUCACAAAUUACAACCCCGAUCCCAUCCUUGUAUUUUUUUGGGCUAUCAUCCUACCUCCAAGGGUUAUCGCUGUCUUGACCCACAAACUCAUAAAGUCUACAUAUCUCAUCAUGUCAAAUUUGCCGAAAAUGAGUUUACGUACGAGUCUAUUUCCUCCUCCACAAAUACAUCAUUCAUUGGCGUCUUUCCUCUUUUUCCAACAUACUCACAGGGUCCCUCACCACCUUUCCCCACACCUCCACCCACCACCCAACCACCCUUCAUCACCCCUUCGACCGUCACCCACAAUACACCCGCAACCACCACCCACACUCACAACCAACCCGAACCACCCCAUACCCACAACAUCUCCAGCCCGAUCCGUUUUGGGUCCUUCCCAGCCACCCCCGAAUCACCACCACCCGUGCCACCCCCACUACUCAUCCCAUGUUAACUUGUGGCAAAGUCGGUAUCUUUAAACCCAAAACAUUUCAUGCUACCAUACUACCAAAUACACCCCUUCCCGAUAGUGAAUCAACAACCUACUCUGUUGCCUCAAAAAAUGCUUAUUGGCGUCAUGCUUUGGAUGAAGAGUUUAAGGCUUUGACUGAUCAGAAAACUUGGGUUCUUGUACCUAAGCCCCAUGGGCUGUAAAUGGGUGUACAAAAUUAAACACAAUGCAGAUGGCAGUAUUUCCAGGUACAAGGCUCGUUUGGUUGCUAAAGGCUACAAUCAGGAGUAUGGGCUUGAUUACUCCAAGACAUUCAGUCCUGUUAUUCGGCAGAAAACCAUUCGCCUGGUACUGUCACUCGCCGUGCGCAACAAUUGGCUCAUCAAUCAGUUGGAUGUUUCCAAUGCUUUUCUUCAUGGCAUGCUUGAUGAAACUAUCUACAUGACGCAACCACCGGGCUAUGUUGAUCCCCGCUUCCCUCAACAUGUUUGCAAACUCCGGAAGUCUCUGUAUGGGCUCAAGCAAGCCCCCGUGCUUGGUACACACGUCUAAAAAUGUUCCUCGAGGGACUCGGCUUCACGUGUUGCGUACACGACAGGAGUCUGUUUACUCGACAUUCAGCACACGGUACAGUCAUUCUUCUUGUCUAUGUAGAUGAUAUCAUUAUUACAGGCUCUACUGCAACUCUCAUUCAGGAUGUCACUCGAACUAUGCAUAUUACCUUCAAAAUGAAGGACCUUGGCCCGUUACAUUAUUUCCUAGGAAUAGAGGUUUCUCGGAAUGGCAGCGGCUUGUUUCUUCAUCAGUCAAAAUAUGCUCGAGAUCUGUUGCAGAAAGCUGGACUGGAAAAAUGCACCAGUCAACCAACACCGAUGGCAGUCUCUUCGUCUACAAAUGGAGCCGACACCCCCUUUGCCGAUAUCACCCACUUCCGCAGCCUCAUUGGGGCUCUACAGUAUCUGGCCAUUACCCGUCCUGACAUCCAGUUUGCUGUCAACCGAGUUGCUCAGCGCAUGCAUAAACCAAGUGAACAUGAUUACCAUUGUCUAAAAUGCAUUCUUAGGUACAUAUUUGGCAUUCUUGGUCGUGGUUUACUCAUUCGACGCGGGGACUUGGAGCUUCGGGGUUUCUCAGAUUCAGAUUGGGCGAAUGAUAAAAAUAACAGAAAAUCUACAUCGGGGUUUCUCGUUUUUUUGGGGCCGAACCUGAUCUUCUGGUGUACAAAAAAACAACCCAAGGUCUCUCGGUCCUCGACUGAAGCUGAAUACCGCGCCCUUGCUCUUCUUGCUGCUGAGACCAUGUGUGUCACAUAUAUUCUUCGCGAACUCCGCGCCACUCACACUGUUCAUGCUCUCUAUUGUGACAACAAAUCAACCAUCUGUGUGGCCAAGAAUUCCGUCCUACACACCAGAAUGAAGCAUGUUGAUACCGAUUGUCUCUUUGUUCGUGAUGAAGUUCAGGCCGGCACCAUGACUGUGCAGUAUGUACCCACUGAAGACCAACCGGCUGAUAUUCUCACCAAGCCUCUCCCGAGCCGACAUCACCAUUACCUCAGUUCCAAGCUUCCGUUCGCUUCCGCUCAGCUCAGCUUGAGGGGGGAUAAUAACAGAUAAUAUUAAAUAAAUAGUAUUACAUAAUAUUAGUAUUUACUGUGUACUAAUACAAGUCCUAUUAGGAUUAGUACUCCUUAAUCCUAGUCCUAUUAGGAUUAGUACUCCUUCCUAUAUCUCCUAUAUAUAUCUCCCAUGUAUUCCCUUAUUAGGUUAAUAGUUCAAUACACUCAAUAUUCCUUCAGAUCGGUUCAUGGUUUUGUUUGUUUUAAUAGCUUUGUCGGUGAUGUUGAUAGUAUCUAAAUACUCAAUCCAACAAUAAGACAAUAUAUCAUCCUUCCUCAGCCAAGCCACAAGGGGUAAGAAAUUGGCCUAAUUUGGUUGCUUAUGGCUUUGGCUUCGAUCCUGUUAGGUUACAGUACAAAGUGGUUAGUUAUCGACAGGAGAUUCACGAUGAUUUUCAUAAUUACAAGUCUGAAUAUUGGAGAAGUAUUGACCAUUUCAUGUUCCAUUUUAGAUGCAGCGGAUAUGGGGUGAAUUUAUAUGGAAAGAUUCAUUGGUUGGUUUCUGAUGCUAAUCGAAAUGAGUUAAUAUGUUCAUUUAAUUUGGAGAGUGAGUUGUUUGAAUCAUUCCCAACUUCUCUAGGAUACACUAAAGAAAAUUGUCCAAAUUUAUGAAGUUUGGGAGUUUUUGGACGUUUUUUUGUGUGUGUGUGUGUGAUAAUAAUGCAGAUGCUCAUUUUGAGGUAUGGGUGAUGAAAGAAUACGGAGUUACUGAUUCAUGGGUUAAACAGAUUGUCAUAAACAUAACUCCUGAAUGCAACAAUUAUUGGUUGUGCUAUGAAAUGUUUAAUCUGGUGAAAGUUUUGGAUGAUAGAGAAGUGUUGUUCUUGUGGCGCGAUGAUUUCUUGUUCUUGCACCAUCCUGUGAAGAACACAUUGAAAAGGGUUGAUGUCUGUGAUGGAAACUUUGUAGCAUCUAUGAAUGUAUCAAACUCUUUAUCUCUCAAGAUUUUUAAAGUAAAGGUUGUAAAUGUCUUUAAGAUAUCUUGUACUACUAGAGUAUUGUGUAUUUUUAGCUUUGUGUUUUACAUCCUUGGCUAACAAUAACAUACCAUCAUGUUAUUUGAGGGGAAAGUUGUUUGUACAAAUCUGCAAGUAAUAUAUGAUAUUUAAUCUAAUCAAAGACAUACCAAAAACAAAAAAUAUCUGAUAGCAUUGUAGACUGAACAUCGGGUGCGUGGACAAUUCGAGCAACAUUAAAACAAAAGAGUUGGAAUUUUAAGAAAAUAAGAAAGGCUGAGAGAGAAAUACUGCAAUGUAAACAAAGGAAAAUAUUCAAAAGGUAAUGUAAUGAAUGAGUUUUGCUUGUAAGCUUCUAAUAUUCUCUCCUUAUUUGGUACUCUUGUUAUUUUAGAUUACAAAAAAUCCCAAAUAUAUCAUUGAGUUUUUAGAAAGAAAAAAAAACUGAACGAAAUGCCUGUUGGUGCCACUUUCGGAAGAUAAGUUUGGAUCUAACUCAAUUUUAAAAUUAGUUGAUGAAUCUUGAGAAUUACUUAAUCUCGAAAACUAUUUGUAAUUCGAUUUUGUUCUAUUCCAUUAUAUAUUAAGAUGGAAUUGGAAUGGAACGGGAUGAGAUAAACGGGACGACAUUUUUAGUUAUUUCAAAAUCGAUUAAAUUUUUUUAGUUAUUGUGAUUUUUCAAACCAAAUAUGAAUAUUUUUUUUAUUUGUCUAAGUUUAAAUUAUUAGUUUUUAAAUUUAUAAUGUAAUUUUUAACUUAAGUUUAUUUUAAAGAUAGUUUAUUUUUUAAUUUUUACUUAUUAAAUUUACAAGUUAAGUCAAUAAGGUUUCAAGAUUUGAAUCUUUUGAAGUUUAUAAGCUAUUACUUAUUAAUAUGUCAUAACUUAAGGUUAUAUUAAUAAAUUGUGAUUUAAAUAACUUUAAUUUGUAAUUUUAAAAAAUUAAAUAAAUAUAAGAAUAAAAAAUUACACAAAUUAAAAAAUAUAAAAUAUCAACUAUAAUAUAUAAUAUAAAUUAAUUAAUAAAUAAUAAUUAAUCGAAAACCGAACUGACACCGAACUGGAUCGAGAUCCGGAUAAAUCGAUACCGGUACACCGAUAUCAAAUCACGAUUACAUUACGUUUCGUGUACCAAUUCAUGGUGUCUCGUUCCGUCUCGUAGGCAAUCGAAUCGGUGUGAACUGAAACGGUAUAGAUCCGUUGCCCAAUCUUACUUAAGAGUAACUUAACAAAAAACUUUCUGUUAAUAAUUAGGUUUAUUUAUAUGACCCAUUGGUGCCAGUUAUGAAUAUGAAUUUUGGAUAUAACUCAAUCUCAAAAAUAAGAAUGAUUUUUCAAAAAUCUGAAGUAUUCCUUAACGGAAGCAUGCACAAUAUACCAUGGAGUUCAAUAAUAAAUCAAAACUACUUUAACGGACUUUGAUACCAAGUAAAUAUAUAGAAAAAGAAAAUUUAUCUAAAUACUCUCUCUGUUUCUAUUUACUUGUCCAUAUUUUCUCUUUAGAUGUCUCUAUUUACUUGUCCAUUUGACAAAUCAAGAAAGAACAAAAAAAAUCUAUUAUACCCUCAUUUAAACUUCUUGAAAAAAAUUUUUAAAAAUUUUUAAUUCAUCUUUUUUAAAAUCAUAUUUAAUAAUGGUAAAGUUGUAACUACACUAUGUUAAUUGUUAUUAGCUUAGUAUGUUUGUCUUUUCUAAAGUGUACAACUAAACAAGUAUAGAGGGAGUAUAUAUAAGGAUAUUAACUUUCUAUUUUUUUUUUUAAUGUUGCACUUAAUUCUCAUGUCCCAUGUGAUGUUCACUGAGUCAAAACAAAUAACUUUGAAAUUUGAUCUAAAUACAGAUAUUUUAUCUCAAACAUUGCCACAUAACACAUCUAGAUUCUUCCACCAAACCAAUUUAUGCCUAUAAAUAGGAGAACUCCCAAGUGAAAAAAGUGGAAAGUUAUUUUGGUCGAGAAGAACCAAAACAACUUUUCCAGCAAAGAAAAAGUUAGCUCAGAAAACCUAAAAAAGAAGAGGCAAAAUAGAGAGUUUUAGGAAUUUUUCUUUAACAAGGGUGGUUGCCCCUCUCUUGUUUAUCCAAUGAUUUUUAUUUUUUAUUUUUCAGAAGCAACAACCCUUGGAUUCAUGUUAAUUUCUUGGAAAUGACUGGAUCAUUCAAAUGGCAAAUAUACAUAUAUUUCACAACCUUUGGCAAUAAUCUUUUUUUUUUGUGUCUCUGAUAAUCUAUCUACGGUAUGUAUGUGUGUUGUAUUAGAGGCGAUGAUGAUAAUGAUGAUGAUUUUUUUGAAUUCUGAGCUAACUGGAUUGGGGAUGGAGACUAAACGAUCCGUAUCUUGGCUUGGCAAAUCAUCUUGAUUUUGCAGCCAUGGCGUGGUUGCCCUCUCUUUCGUCCUCAUCUCUUUGCAGAUCAGAGCCUCAAAAUUGUUAUCAACAACAUUUGAAAUAAUAAUUCAAAAACUAUUUUUCAUUUUUUUGAAAAUAUAAUAUAUUAUGCUCUUCUAUUAUCUAUCUAUCUGAUUUUUAUUUAUUUAUUACCUUAAAAUCAUGAUGCACUUAAUGUAGAAAUUUCUAUAUUUUAGGUUUGUGAUUUUUCGAUGAAAUUUGUAAGUUCUUUUUUUUUUAAUAGUUGUGAUUUUUUCCACUGGUAUAAGAAAGAGUUGUGACUUUUUAGGGGUAUGAUUUCUCGGAAUGGUCAACAAAAUGCUUGUUUAUGCAACUCUUUGUUGACUAUAGGCCUAAUUCAUCGGUGAUUCUUAAAAUUGAUUUUAAUUUUCAGUUAGAUACUCUAAUUAAAUUUUGUUGAUUUAUAUAUUAUAGGUAGGUUUUCACGAUAUUAUUUUGAUACUUUUUGCUUACAAGCAUAUUGAGUAUUAUACAUGCUCGCUGUUAAAAGUCUUAUUCACAAUUUUUUUUUAAAAAAAUCUCUUUUUCUAUAUUUUUUAGCUACAAUAUCCGAAAC